UUUUUUUUUGUUUACUUCUCUCUAUCUCUUUCUUCGUACUAUUUAUUGCAUUUGCCAAGGAGUGACCUCUUCCAAUGAAAUGGUGCUUAGAUGAGGUGCUAUGGGAAUUAAAUGGCUUAGCAACGCAAGUCCCCAAUGCAUAGGUGCUUAGUUUUUUGUUGCUAAGUUUGCUUCAUCUAGGUACACGCACUUAUCGCCGUUUCUUCCUGGGGUCACCAAACUAGUCUCUCUCUUCUUAAUUAACUUGCCACAUCAGACUUUAUGCCUAUGUGGCAGGCUUAGCACAUGUAGGAUCAAGUACAAUAGUGGGCUAUAAGCCCGCUUUACAUGGCAUUUUUGCAUAUGUGGGGGAAAGAGGCAAGGAAAAAGUGGAGGAGUGGGCUCUCAAGCAAGAGCCAGCCUCUACAUGGUGGAGCAUCCGGAGAGGCACCUGUAUGGAGCUGGUCAGGAAUCGGGAGACUCAAGCCGGUCGUAGCACCGCAGUUAAAAUGAUAAUGGCAAGUCAAAUCACCAGGCCCCACCUGUCCAGCAGUAACUCACUGUCAAAUCACACAGCCCUACGUUUGCAGCAGCCUACUCCCUCUUCUUCUCGCGUCUCUGUCGAACCGACUAAGCGGAACUGCCCCGCCUACCGCGCGGGAAAAGCCCCGCCCUCAACUUUUAAAUAGUACAGUAUACUAAUUUUGUAUCCAUGGAUUGCGCCAUGGAGCAAAGCCUCAAGAAAACGGCGGUACACAUGUACGGAGUAUACAACACGCCCGUCGCGUUCGCGUCGCACCCCAAACGGUCGGUCAGUCUGGCACGCCGCUCUAUGAAUGGAACGCGCGUCAUAUUGCGUUUGCACACACAUGUGGGACCACAAUUGAGAACCGACCAUAGGCACACUCCCCGGCCCCGCAAGUCGGGUGAGUUAAUAGAAGUACAUACGUUGGUACCUGGACGAUCCCUGCAAGACACGGAAGAUCAGUUCAUCCAUGCAUAUGACCAGACUCCAGCAGACAUGCCUGGAUUGGCUAUUGUCUACAAAUCGUGCAGGCUGUCUUGUACAGGGCUGUAGUUCUGGUGAGAAAUCUAAAAAAAGGUUUCUUGUCAUCUCGCAAAAUUAGGUGUCAUGUGCUUCGGAUCACUGCGAGGGUUAAACAGUGACAACUGAGUUGGGCUAGUCAUUGGGGGCACAUGCACGAAGACUACUCGGCUGCCAUCUAGGUCAAGCCGGCUAUGUUAAUUAGGACAUCUAUCGACGAACCCCUUUUCUACGAGUUUAUCUUUAAUUUGAGCUUUGGUCCUCGUCUAGUUUGUCCAUCGGGAUUCAUCUUGUCUCCUUUGGGCAGUGAGGUUAUGAUUUCUUGUCAUGUGGCAUUUUUUUCGUGUUAUAUGUUAUAAUCCGGUGCUUCAGAUCAAAAUGAUGACAACUGCGCCUCCGGAGCAUGUGCAUGAAGACUUCUCGACAGUCAUUGCCGAGGUCAAGCCGGCUCCGGCCGGUAGACAAAAGAAAACUAGUACUCCACUAUAUAGCAGGAGCCUCCGCGCUUGCUUGCUAGUGUUGCUCUCUUCACACUAUCUCGUCCUCUCCAGAUCUAAACACGACAGCGGUGGCCACUCUCUCUCUCUCUCUCUCUCUCUACUCACCGCUGGUCACAGAUCCAGCCGGAUCCUCUCCGCUGGGGAAGGUGAGAAGGUGCAACGUUCACGCAGUCGUCCUCGGCGAUGGCUCUUACCCACUGUCGGCGCGUCCCGAUCAGCGUGCCUUGCCGUUCUCUCCCAAGCAUCGCUGGCGAGGGAGGGCCUCCCACCCCUUCUUCCUCGCUGCCGUAGUGUGGGCAGAUCUGGCGUCCCGCCGCCCACCUAGCGACAUCCCGGCGACCCUCAGGUAUAACUUCCUUCGAAACCGGCCUUGCUCUACUUCCUGAGCUCCUGACGUCGCUGCAUUUGUAUCUUUUACUAUUUCUCAGGCCCCCUCGUGUAGAUAGGAUCGAUCGGUUGUUCGAAAACCACCGAAUUUUUUACUAUUAAGAGGUAAAACUAGUUCAUGCACUCGAAUCUAGUAGUACUUGGUUCAAACAAGGAAGAAAGGGGGUGGGGUGGGGGAAGAUUUGUUACCUGAAUCUAGGACUUGGUUGAAAGAGGAAAUAAUGGGGGCGAAAAGUAGCAGAGACUGGCUAUCCAGCAUGUUCUCUAGGUCUAAUAGGGAAAUAAAGGGAACGCAGUACAAACUCAAUAUAAACCCGAUCUAUUGGUUGAAAAAGGAAAGAAAGUGGGGACUGGGGGACAAGUCAACAGAGUAAGUCCAGCACUAGAUUUGCUAGCCUCACACAGUAUAAGGUGGCUAUAUACCGAACAAAAAUGGGACCAACCCAGGUAUCCUCUUCUGAUGUUUGUUGCCCCGAGCCGCUCUUAUGUAAUGCCACUGGUAAAAUGUAGCAGUCGCACUGUUAAAAGUAAGGACACGUUAAACCAAUGUUGUUUUCAAUGUAAUGCCUCCAGUAAUAUGAACCAAUGGCACUUUUUUCAUGUCCUGCUAAAUUUCCCAUUAAGAUAAGUUGCUUCUUUUCGUUAGAGAUGCAAUUGUCCUGGUCCGCCUACUCUCCAGGAGCUUCAUGACCAACCUUGAUGUUGCUCAAUUUUAUUGCAACUAAUGAAGAAGAAGCUUUGUGGGUUUCAUUUUCUGAUGGAAAUGGAAUCGGGGCUGGAGCCGUUUUCUUAAAAAAAAGCUGCUAGCUCAUGGGACAUUGCUUCAUUUUAGGUGAACUGCACCAAAAGGUCCCAUGAUUGAAUCAUCCAUGUUGGUGACUGGUGUCAUCCCGUCUAUGAUGGCGUUGACUGCAGAUAUGGUUCCCAUCACGAGGUAUGUUCCUUUUUGGUCUGAUCGUUUGCCAAAGAUCCUGCAUGUUGAUCCUGCUCUUGUGCUACUGUUUUGGCACUGCCAUGAUAAAGCAGUAAUGUUAUUAUUUUACACCUUAAUCUAGUGGCACUAUUAAUUUGAGGCAAUGUUUUGGCACCGCUAGUGCCACUACUUUUUAUAUAUCGAAAGAGGGGGUUCCCUUUGAUUUCGUUAAAGAAACCCAACCAUAGAGAACCAUUAUCCGACAACAUCUCAGUGUAAACGGGCAGUUAUGCAACUACUACUAGAACGGACUGAGUACUAGCAGGAGGCAACUUCGCCACAUAAGCUAGGCAGGUAGGGGGACGCAGCACCAGCUCGACCAAGUUUGGAUUACAACCCAAAUGCUACCACAGAAACAUCAGGGGGAAGAUAGGGACUGAAAGAGCCAGCUUCAGCAUCCCAGUCUAAGCACCCCCGGCCUUCAUCCUUGCGACGCACGGUACACCUCGUUUGCCACCUGCUCGACCCUAGUGUCACUGAUAAAAUGAAGUAAUAAACAGUUAAAAUAGAGCGAGUGUCCUCUCUAUCAUUUCAUUUCCAAUGUAGAUAAAGAAAGUGCUUCUCUUUGUUAAUGUAUGUUUCAUCAACUAGUCCCAUUGUUAAUGUUUAAGCGUUUCUGCAAACUGGGGUGCUUAAUUUUAGUUGAUCUGCACAAAAAUAGAGAUUUGAAUGUCUCAAGGCCCCUCCUUGUACUACCGCUGUACACUGAUGUUCAUCACUGGCAGAAGGUGUAUCAAGGAGACUUGGGACGAUUUCCAGUAUGCGGCGUGGCGUACCGUAUGAGGCGUUGCAGGGCCCAUCUCGCCCACGCAGCAUGGCAUACUAUGAUACUAUCGCAAUAUUUUCUUCUAUUUAUUUUGCAUGUUUCAUCAACUAGUGCCACUAUAAUGUAAUCACGCUUUUUCAUUAUCUGUGCAAACACGGUUAUUCAGCUGCAUUUUGGUGGAACUGCACAAAUGUACGGAUGGAACCGGCAUAUAUGCAGAGUGCGAGGUGUGCCAAGUAAAAAUUACCGACACCAACCAUGCUCCAUGCACGCAUUGGCAUCCACCACCACCAGUGGGAUGUGUGGCGCUCUCUGUGGACGGAUCUUUCUCGGCAGCAAAUCCUCUAACCAAAUACUGGUAGCUUAUAUUGGCAGUUUUCUAGGGAGUACUCUUUUCUGAAAGAAGCACCAAUCUAUUUUUGUUUAUUUGUACACAGUGUCACAACUUUGACCCAAAGGUCCAGAGCUAUAUAAGGGUGAUUGGCGUAGUACUCGGAGACUGAUUGUAGCCAUGAUUUUCAUUAGCUGUCACAUUGAUUGUAAGCAUGAGCAGGUGGAAGAUUAGGUUAGUGCAAAGCUUACCUUAAACCCUACCGUCCUCGAAAUCUCCCACUCAUUGUCAAACCAAGUAAGGAUCCCCUUCAACCUGGCUAACUUUGCCUGGUCGCCGCCGGUGAUCUGCCUGAUUUGGUGCUAGCUUUGGAAAAUGGGAGGAGAGACGGUGGUCUUGCAAUAGAGAAGAGGGAGAGGCGAGACGGUGGUUUUGGAAUGGAAAUGAUGGAGAGGAGAGGAGGUGGUUUUUCAAUGGAGAAGAGGGAGAGGCGACACGGUGGUUUUGGAAUGGAGAUGAUGGAGAGGAGAUGAGGUGGUUUUGCAAUGGAGAAGAGGGAGAGGAACGUGCGGCAGCGAUUUAGGAUUGGACGAGAGGGCCGGCUCGCUGUGACUGGAUCAAAAUCAAAAUCAAUUUACCCUUCAAUUAAGAAAGCGACCCCACAUUAACUAGUCUCCCUUUUAUUCUGGGUCAUAAUUGACCAUGAUUUUCGCAAAUAAAAUAUAUGUUAUACGUUGCAAAAAUAAUAUAAUUUGAAAGUACAUUCAGAUACGAACCAAACAAUACAAUUUUUGGUGACAUGCAUUCACAUUUUGCUUGUCAAAUACAGUACGUGGUCAAACUUUGACCCAAAAUACGCAAAACAAAAAAAUACUUCCAAGACCAGCGCCGCUCUUCCCCUCUUCUCCUCUUAAACCACCGCUGCUCCUCUCCUGUUCCAAUCUAAAUCCAGCGCCGCUCCUCUCCUCUUCCAUUUCAAAACCACCGCCCCUCCUCUCCUGUUCCAAUCCAAAACCAGCGUCGCUCCUCUCCCGUUCUAAACCAAAACCAGCGCUGCUCCUCUCCUCUUCCAUUCAAAAACCACCGCCGGCGAGUGAAGGUGAUGUGUAGAAGUAGAUCGAUGGAGGAGUACAACCGAUACGUGAGGAUCGCAGACGGCGACCCUGUGAAGCUAGCUAGGAUGUUGGAGAUACAGUCUUGGUUUGACAACAAGGACCAACUAGCGGCGACGGCGACAUCCAUGGCCAAAUAUCUGCAACAGAGCGAAAAGGCGGCGAUACUCCCGGAGGGAGUCGCGCGGGAGUACAUAGAGCUGCUCCUCUAGGCCAUGGAGAAAAUAGAUUCACCGAAUCCGAUCGUGAGGGAGCGGUGGUGGGAGUAUCGAUCCCAGAUGGAGCAUCCACCAGAGAUUGAAGGAUCGAGCAUCUAUAGGGUGCCGUUUGUGAGGGUGUCGUGCCAGAGCGAGCCGGUGGAGUCUUCGUCGACCGAACCCAACUGCAAGAGGAGAAAAAACAGUUGGCCCGACGACGCUUCCCCGCCAUCCUCUCUCUGGCCGUUCACAUUGUCUCACGGGGCGGCUGUCUGUCGCCGAGGAAUAGGAGGGAUUGCCCCCCCCCCAGACCAAUAGUCGGGCAGGUUUUGAAUUGUCAGGAGGAGCUUAGUGUUGUUAGUAUUUUCAGGUUGUGAAUUGUGUUUUGUGUUGUGUAUUUUGAGAGUACUUUCAGAUAUGAAUGUCUUUUGAAUUUCAGAUUUGCAGUAUUGAGCAUAUGAAGUAUUUUAUGAAUUCUAGAGAUCUAUUUUUAGCACUUAAAAAAUGUAGCUUCAUAGGAGUAUAAAAGUGCAGACAAUGUGAUUCUCAGAGAAGAAACUGCAUGUUUCAAUUUCAGAUAAGAAACUCCAAGUUCAGUUUCAGAUAAGAAACUGCAACUUUCAGAGGCAGAGCAUUUAUAUUAACACGGCCUUUUCAAAUAGGGUUAACAUCAUGCUGGAAGUUUUAUUCAUGGUCGAAACUGGAACUACCAGGCAGUUAACAUCAUGCUGAUCAACAUUCAUGCAUAGCACAUCUUCAUAUGAUGCACAGUCAAAAAGAUAUGCUAUUUUCAAUAUGCCCACACAAUGUCGAGUGUGCGAAAAACAGAGAAAACGAGGGACGAAGUUUUGGCAAGUGUUGGACGUGGUGUGCGUAGAUGACAAUUGGGACCCACAUGUCAAUAAUGCUAUACUGACAUUGGGGCCCACGGGUUUGUCAACAUAGUUACAUUUCUUUUAGGUGCUUCAACGUAGUUACUAUAGGAGAUAAAUUCACAACGCAGCCGGGGAGCUGGCAGGUAUCAUUUAUUAUCACUGGGGCAGCAAGUAUCAGCUGGGUUUUGGGCUGCCCCGUCUAGGCUUUCUUUUUUAACAUGUGCAGCCCACGACAUCGGCUGGGAGGUCCAUAGGCCUCUUUGUAUUUUCUUGAGGGCCGUCAUGUAUCGACCGGCCUAUGGACCUCCCAUUGGAGGUUUUAUUUUUCCUGAAACAUCGGCAGCCCAAUUUAUGUAUUUUUUUGAAGAAAACGCAGAGGUCUAUUCUAUUUUUCUAUAUAAGAAUAGGAACGCCUGGUCCAACUUAUGUUUCCCUUCUAACUAUAUUAUAUAUAUUUAAAUUAUUUUAUAUGUUAUUAUAUAUUAUUGUUAUUGUCAUCAUAUAUUUAACAGAUACUUACAUAUGUAAGAAAACAAUAUCCCACAUCUUAUUAACUUAUAAAAAUAAUUUCUUAACAAUAAAAUCCUGGAUUUUUUUGGCAACGAAAAUCCUGGUGAUUGUGUACAAAAGCUUGGUAAGAUUUAAGGACCAAUGUAAUAGUAAAUCACUUAUUAUUUAAAUAUAUAUAUAUAACAAAAUGUUGAGCCCCUCUUUAUUUUUUGAUAACAUUGCUGCACCCACCCCAACAUUAUAAUUAGAAUAAGCCCAGGAAAAUCGUGUAUUUCGAGAAAGUGCAAAUGGCAUGUAUUUUUUUAGGAAAAACAUAAAUGGGCCGCAUGGAUGCUACAUUAUUUGUUCACCCAGCCCAGCUAAUGGACUGUAAUUCAAAAAAAAAAGAGAUCAAAUUGACUGUAUAUUCUACCCCGCAAAAAAAAAGACCGUAAAUUCUGAAAAAUGGGUUGAAUACGUGCCACAUUUUUGGAGGCUGAAAUGUGGGCCAAUAGGUCGAAGCCAAUGCAAGUCGUUGUCAACUUAGUCAACAAAUGAUUCUGACAUCAUUAGCCGUUGGAUUUACAUCCAACGACCGGCAUCCAUCUUCAAUCUCUCGUCUUCUUCCUCCUGCGCCACCGGGACCACCUGCUCUCGCCUCCUGCUGCUAGCAGCUCUACUUAGCACGCUUCGCUGUGAAGCGCUACUCCACCAUUGGCCAGGCCAUCCCUCCACCCCUCCACACCUCAUGUUCUUCUCCAUCGACUGCCGAACCACACCGCACCAGAACCAGUUAACCCUCGCACACCUCUCCGUCUGCGACUCUACUUCCGCGCCUUCCCAUCUCCGGCACGUUGCUGUCCGGGGCCUCACCAUCGUCCACCACCUUGGAUGCGCUCGGCGUGGAGUGGUCAACGUGGUCAACGAACAACACCAUCGGAAGUAGACUGUGCGUGGAGAGGCAGAUCCAUGGCCGCACGCAAGGAAAUGCCUCCUUAUUACACGCAAAAUAAUGAUUCCUCCACCUAACAGCUGGGACCCACCGGAAGGGCCUCUGUAUUUCACAAAAAACGUUCCCACCGCUGACAAGUUGGACCCACCAGCUAUAUCUUCGCACGCAAGGAAGUGCCUCCUUAUUACGCACAAAAAAAUGAAUACCCCCUGCUAGCUGGGACCCACAAUAGUGGGAGGCUGACUUGUGGGCCAACUAAGUUGACGGGGACAGAGGGCUUUGUCAACUUAGUCAAUAUGAACGAUUCUAGCUCCAGUUACCGUACGAUGUCCAUCCAACGGCCGUAGUGCUUCUUCAACCUCUGGUCUUCUUGCUCCAGCCGCCCAAAGCAGUGCCGGUCAUGCCUCGUGCUCCUGCCUCCCGUGGCCGGCUGCGAUGCCGCGGAGGCCUCACCGCCCCCUACUACUCCCACCGCUGGCCAGGCCAUCCCUCUACUCACCCACACCCCCUGUUAUUCUACGGCGACGGCAGCCUCACACCGCAGCGAACCAGUGAACCCUCAUACUCCUCUACGCGUGGGCAUCCACUGCCGCGUCUUCCCAGGCUCCGCGUCGUCCCCUUCCUAGGCCUUGUCGUCAUCCACCGCCCUGGUGCUCUCGGCGCGGCGUGGUCAACCUGGUCAAGGAAGGCCUUCCAUCGGACGUGGACUAUACAUGGAGAGGCUGACAGCUGGGUCCACGGCCGCAGCAAGGAAGUGCCUCCUUAUUACACGGAAAAUAAUGAUUCCUCCACCUGACAGCAGGGACCCACUGGACGGGCAACCGUAUUUCACGAAAAAAAUGUUUCCCCCCUGACUGCUGGGACCUACCAGCGACAUCUCCGCACGCAAGGAAGUGCGUCCGGGCAAAAAAAUGAUUCGCCCCCCUGACUGCUGGGACCCACUAGCUACAUCUUCACACACAAGGAAGUGCCUGACAGUCGGGACCCACCUGGUCGAAGCGUACGUAGCGUUGUCAUUUUGGUUGCGAACGUGUACGUACAUACUGGUCGAUAUAGAGGCGCGCAUGUGUUGUAGCAGAGGCGCGCACGUAGCAUGUACACGUACGUACAGCGGCCAGGGUGCAAGAAAGUAAAUACGGCCACGUACGUACAUACGGGCGGGGUCUCGAACGCCUACUCGCGUGUACGUACGGCCCGGGCUCGUGUACAUGGCUGGGUCGGAACGGAGAAACAGCGUCGUCGUCGUGUUCAUGGGGAGACAACCGGCUGGGUCAGAACGAAAUGCGUCGUCAUGUUCAUCGGGAGGGCUUGGACGGAACAGCCGAUGGAAACGAGGCCUUGCGUACCGCAGAACGGAGGAAACGGCCUUGUGUUCGACCGGCCACAUUCGAAAUGGGAUCCGGUUCAUCGGGAGGGGUCUGGCGUACCGCAAAACGGAGGAAACGGACCUCCUACGGUCGAAACGGGGGUCAUGUUGAUCGGGAGGGGUGUGGCGUACCGCAAAACGGAGGAAACGGACCUCCUACGGUCGAAACGGGGGUCAUGUUGAUCGGGAGGGGUGUGGCGUACCGCAAAACGGAGGAAACGGACUUGUGUUGGAGCGCUACGGUCGAAACGGGGGUCCUGUUCAUCAGGAGGGGUGUGGCGUACCGCAAAAUGGGACUCCACGGGAUACUGUUCAUCUCCACCGUCGACCCCCUCCAGCCUCCACGGGCUACUGUUCAUUCAUCGUCGACCUCCUCUAGCCUCCACCUGCGACUGUUCAUCCACGGGCUCCUAUUCAUCCAGCCUCCACCGCGCGCUACUCCACCGGCUACUGUUCAACCAGCCCUCUCCACGGGAUACUGUUCAACCACCCCUCCACGGGCUACUGUUCAUCCAGCCCUCCAUCGUCUACUGUUCAUCCAUCCCUCCACGGGGUGGUCCUAUUCAUCCAGCCCUCCACGGGGUCCUGUUCAUCCAGCCCCAACCGGCUCGAUCGAUCGGGGUCCUGUUCAUCCAGCGGCAACACCACGGGGUCCUGUUCACCCACCCCCACCGGGAACUGUUCAUCCAAACCCCCCAGCAACGCUCACUAUUCAUCCAGAGGCAACACCACGGGGUCCUGUUCAUCCACCCCCACCGGGAACUGUUCAUCCAACCCCCCUAGCAACGCUCACUGUUCAUCCAGAGGCAGCAUCGAUCGGCUUCAGUUAGCAGCAGUAGCGAAGGAAUCGCUCGAUCGGGUUCAAUUAACAGCCAUCGAUCAAUCGCUCGGGAUCAGUAACACGUAGACUGCAGUGCAAUCACUCGGGUUCAGUUAGAGCCCAAUGCCUCGCACCCACGCGCGUGCAUGUACGAGAGAAAUGCGCAUCGCUCGGCCCCGACCACCCACCGUAACCGGGAACACCCCGAUAUUUUCCUCGCCCUUGCUUCUACCACGGUUUUUUCCGUCAUGGACGGCCCAAAGAAUGUCAUGCAGCUGCGUCUCCGGCCCGCCCAGGACGAAAAGCCCAUUUUCUGUCAUGAUUUUCUGUCAUAGAAGUAGGACCCCCACCACAUCUAUGAUCAUACCGGGUUUUAUCACAAUUAUCGUCAUAGAAGUGUCAUAAGUACGACAGAAAAAAAUUCGUUCGGCCCAAAAUGUCACGGAUGUGUCUUUUUUUUAGUGCAAGUAGCUAAGAUGAUUCUGAAAGUCAGCCUUGUAAUUGAUUGAAGACCUUGAUCUGAGGAGUCUCAUAAUCCAAGGAGCAUAAGGCUUCAACUCAAAAUGUGACAGUGCAACAUUUGCCAGAGUCCUCAUGAAGAAAUCAUGGUAGUUGACAGGAACGCCAUGGAUGAUGUUGAAUACCAAAUUCUUCAUGAUGCCAACGACUUCUUCUUCAUUAGAGUCGUGACCUUUGAUAGGACUCAGGUUCUUGGUCAGAAUGCGAUAGAGAGUCCUCGGCACAAACAGCAAUUCCUUCACGAGGAAUUUGUCAGAUGUGGGGUUCCGGCAAAACCCUUAAGGUUCGAACAAUGGGGUGCGCGCGAAGAUCUACUCCCUACCGAAACACGCCCACAACCUCGCCGCGAUUCUAAGCUAGCACGAUGAAUGGCACAAGAGACACGAGGUUUAUACUGGUUCGGGCCACCAUUGUGGUGUAAUACCCUAAUCCAGUGUGUGGUGUGGUGGAUUGCCUCUUGGGCUGAUGAUGAACAGUAUAGAGGAAGAACUGCCUCGCGAGGGGUGUUCUUGUGCUUGGUGGAUGUGUGGGUGAUCUGAAUCAGUUGGCUCCGGAUGAGAUGGGAUCCAUCCCCUUCUACUAUGGUGGCUAGCCCUAUUUAUAGAGGCCCUGGUCCUCUUCCCAAAUAUUGAGCGGGAAGGGAGCCAACAAUGGCCAUUUUGAAAGGGGACAGCUAGUACAAGCUAUCCUGACUAAACGUGGUCUUCGACUGCCAAAGGCACUGGAGAUGACGCCGUCUUGGGCUCCACGGUGACCUCUGUCUUGCUGCUCUGCUGGUCUUGGUCUUGUUGCACCGAUAUGGAAACCUUUGCUUGAUGCCUUGGUACUCCGCGCCUGCGCUUGCCCCCUUUGCACCAAAGAGGAAACGAGGACACUGCGCAGGCUGGCGCCCGCCUGGCGCCUGCCUGGUCCUGAUCGUCAUGGCUUGCGUCAUGAGCACCUCACGAGGUACCCCUUGCCUUGAUCUCUCCGCCUCCUCGCGAGCCUGCCUGGUGAGGCCGCCCCUGGGGAAGCCUUGUGUCGUCCGCCCCGCGAGGCUUGGCCCCUCGCGAGGGUCUUGAGCUUGGGUUGAUGAAGACGGGCCGUACUGGGCCGCUGGUGAGCCACGCUGCAGGCCGCAGGCAGGCAAGUGCGAAGCGCCGUGGGCCCCCAAUAGCAUGCGGCCUUGGUCGCCACAUGGCGACUUGACUAGACGUGGGUGUCUCCGCUUCCCCGCUGCCUCGGCAACUGCCCGAUUUGAUGAGUCCCUGCUGCAUGCAAAAAGAGUCAUCAUUACCUGCAAUCGUGGAGGUCGACGGUUGGCCUCCCUUGGACUAUAAGUACGGAGAGGCGAGAGCCCCCGUUGCUCAUCUCUUCUUGCUCCGCCUGCUUCUUCCUCUCUGCUCCGCCUCCAUUCUCGACGCCGAUGGCACCGAUCCGCCGGUUCUCAGCCGACGAGAAAGGAAAGGCCCCCCAGGAGGGGCCUGGCCCACUCCCGCCAAAGAAACGGUCGGUCCAGUGCCGUCGCGACAAGGUUGCGAGGCCGGAGAUGAUGAGGCCUUGGUACGAGUGGCCACCCCCUGGGUUUCCGCUGCCCCUGUACGCCCGGGCCGAGGGCCCUGGAGAAGGAGAUGGCGAGCGUCGCCGCCCGUGCCGCAGGCGAGGCCGACGAGCCACGGCGGCGCGCGUCGUUGCUCCUGGGGUCCAUGCCACGAACUCCUCUCGCGAGCUCGUGCUUCACGCCGCGAUGCCUCCAAGCACCUGGAUCCGCGUCCCUUCAUUCUUCGCCUUCGAGAUGCCGCCGAGGGGGCCUCUCGAGCUUUGGCUGCAACACACCGACUGCGGUGCUCCGGCGGCCGGAGCGGAGGUUGAAGUCGUCGCUCCGCGCAAGGUCUUCAUGACCCAAGGCUGGGGCGAGGUCGCCCGGGUCUGCCGAACGAGGGGUGCCCUCGUGAUUCAUUUCGAAUACGAUGGCGCCUCCUUGAUGCUCUUCAAGGUCUUCGACGCAGAAGGCCACCGCCUGGAGUGCUGCCCCAGGGGAGGCAGCCGAGACAUCAAUGUGGCGGGGGCCAGGCCUGCCACCCGCCUCCCCUAUGGCUCCUCUGGCAGCAGCGGCGAUACUUGGGAGUCCAGCGACUCUCCCGAGCUCCUCGCGACUCCAGAGACGAGCGACGACAGCUACGUGCCCCCAAGCUCGCGCUGCGCCCGGAGCAAGGCGGUUGCAUCAGGCCGCCGGCGCAGCUGAUCUGGAUGAGGUUGGCGCCGGCCUCUCAUGGCCCACUGUUGAUGAUGGCGUCAUCCAUGGAGGCACGUGUAGUUAGGGCUCCUUAGGAUUUUCGUCUUUUGUUCCCUGCGAGGAAUCGAGAAAACACCCCGUGGGGGCAUGUAAAGGAUCCACGAUGUAUCUUGUUGAUAUUAUCCUUAUUAUGAAGCAGUGCGAAUGCUUGUCCUGUCUCGGCUUGGUUCCCCCUUACUAACCUCGCGACGACUCGGGGCUCUACGCUGACAGGUCCCGGUCCCCAGGCAGGCUUUAUCCAUCGCUGGUAUGCCAGGUCGCGAUGCCGUGGUCAAGGCCAGGAGGUGAGCGGCCUGAGGUCCAGUAAGAGCCCACGAGGCGCGAUGCUCGGGAGGUCCCCUUUAGCGCACAAGCAGCCGCCAAAAGGUGAGAAAGGAAGGCAGCGUCGCCAUCACAGAGCCGCAUUAUCUGUGUCGCAUCAAUUGACCAUUCUAGGUGCGAAACUUAUCUCAAGAACAUGGAGUCGCUCCUUCGCGUCACGCCAGACAUGUACAUCGGCGGCUGGGAUGUAGCUGGGUUAGGCCCUCGCGAGCUUCCUCUCUCUUCCCCACACUCCCCUUUGUGCUCUACGUCCUCAGGUCCCGGCCCUUGAGCAAGCUCAGCCGCCGCUGGUAUGCCAGGUCGCGAUGCCUGGACAAGGCCAGGGGUGAGGGCUGGAGAGCCAGUAAGAGCUCCUGAGUCGCGAUGCUCAGGAGCCCCCCUUUUAACACGCAAGCGGAUCGAGUGGGAAGGAGAGAGAGCUCGUGGUACCACCCGCUUCAGACCUCAGGGGGUUCCUGCCAGGUGACAAGAGAAAAAGCACGGGUUGCCAUUAUGAUUGCCGACCGGCCAUUGGUUGCUUCGAGAGAGUGGUGAGGGCACUGAGGGCCUGGUGAGGUGACGCUUGCGGGGCUGCCGCGGGCCAGAGCUCGACCGCUCAGAUUUGUCGACGUUGCAGGGACAGACCCAUGCGCAAGCGCCGUGCCAGAGUAAGCAGCUCCAAAGGUAGGUGUCAAUCGAACAGGCGAUAAGCACAGGCAGGUUAGGCAUGAAGGGCAAAUCAGCUUAGAUAAACGCGAAAAGGAUACAUGCCACUGGGCCAGGCCCGAGCGGCUUGGGGAUGUUGCAGCCCGAGGGGCGCCCCCAGCAAGGUAAAUUGAAGACAUAAGCAAAGGGAUACACGCCACAGGGACGGACCCACGCGGCCUGGGAAUGAUGCAGCCCUGAGGGCGCUCCCAGCUGAAAUGAACUCGAGAGAUGUCACCUGGUACCGUUGUAGAGGGGGUGUUGGGGUAGCAGAAGAUGCGCAGUGAAGAGGCCGAUCCUCAUGAGCCACCGGAGCCCUGAGCCUCGGGAGGCUCUGGGGGCCCAGGCGGUUCCUUGAGGACCACCUCCAUCUCCGCUAGGACCUCGUGACUCCUGGCCUCCUGAGCCGCCAAGACGCUCCACAGAUGGCGCUGAUGAGUAGCAGCCGCGUUCGGCAGGCCGAAAAGCAUGCGAACAUAGUUGUGUGGCGAACCCUCGCAACGUCCCACGCGCGAGGGCCAAAAGCGCUCCUGAGUCGUGGCUCGGUUGAGCCCUGGGUAGUCGACACAGACGCAUAGCCCGCCAUCCUCGCCUUGAUGGGGAGCUACGCCAGGCAAACGGCAAUCGCCGCGCAUGGCUCUUGCUUCCUGAAGCUCCUGAGUGGUCUUGGUGAUGAACUCCUGAGGGUUGGGCUUUCCAUGCCCUGAGACUUCCUGAGGGAAACAUGUUGUGAACACGCCUUCAAGUGGUGCCCGAGCGCCUCCCUCGUGAUCUUGGCAAAGUCUGAGGCCCUCCAGAAGAGAGCCCCCGAGCCCUGCCCAGGGAGGGCGACGGGCGCGCCUUCUUAUGCGAUGGAGGGAGGCGCCCCUUGCACGGGCGCGGAUCCUGAUGCAGCACCACCUGAGAUGCCAACUUCCUGAGGCCUGGAGCUGGGCGAUGUCUUCUUCUUCUUGGGGACUGCCUCAGGAUGGUUCUUGCCCAUGCUGUCCGGGUCCUCGAUUGAUGCAGCUUGGAAGGCGUGCUCAAGGGAGCACACCGCAUCUCUCUCUUCACAGGGGACCGUGAUGAUCCCGCCGCUUCCUGACAUCUUGAGGACAUUGUAGCCAUGGUGGGUCACCGCCAUGAACUUGGCUAGGGCUGGAUACCCGAGGAUGGCAUUGUAUGGCAGGCGAAUGUGGGCGACGUCGAAGUCGAUGAGCUCGGUGUGGUAGUUGUCGCGCUGCCCGAACGUGACAGGGAGGCGGACCUGCCCUAUCGGGGUGGUGGAGCCGUCAGUGACUCCUGAGAAAGGCUUGGUAGGCUGAAGUUGAUCAUAUGGCACUUGAAGCUUGUUGAACGUCUCAACGGACAGAAUGUUGAGCCCUGCGCCGCUAUCGAUAAGGGUCCUGGUAACUUGCACGUUGCUGAUGACCGGGGAGCAAAGCAUCGGGAGGACGCCAGUGGUAGCCGCACACUUGAGUUGACCUGCUGAGCUGAACGUGAUGGCGUACUUGGACCACCUGAGAGGGCGCAUGGCCUCAAGCUUGGGGAGGACUGCGUUCACCUCACGAGCAAACUGCUUGAAGAUGCACUGAGAAGCUGGGGCCUAGGCACCGCCCAGGAUGCAAGCGAUAGCACGCGGUUCCUGGAAGCCCCCAGCCCCCUCGUCCUGGUGGUGGUCGUCAUUCCUUCUUGGCAGUGGCGGCAGAGGAGGAAGGCCUGCGUUGCCCUGCGGGCGGUCCUCGCGAGGCUGAUCCCUCCGGGCUCCCUCGCGAGGCUGGUCCUGCCAGCGAUCCUCGUGAGGUCGGUCACACCACUCCUGGCGACGGCCUCGGUCGUCCCAUCAUCCUCCGCCUCUUCCUCCUCCUCGGCCGUAGCCCCGGUCGUUGCGCUCGGGGCGUCGACCGACGCGUCCUUCUCGAACGGCCCUGAGCUCUUGGCAUUCGUUGGUGUUCUGGGUGUAGAGGUUGUGGUAGGCACAGAAUCAGUUGCCCUUGGACGACUCCGGCUGGUCCCUGCCGCGCUUCAUGUCUGGCUCUGCUGCGAGCACGGCUGCUCCUUUGCGCUUCACGUCCUUGGCCUUGGCCUUCUUCUCUUCUGGGUCAGUAGCUGGAAGCUCGAGGAGGGAGAGGCAUCCUUCCUCAGCCCUUGCGCACUUGGUCGCUAGGUUGAACAGCUCCUGAGAUGUGCACAAGUCCUCGUGGAUGGCGAGCUCCUCCUUCAUCUUGACGUCGCGGACGCCAUCAGAAAACGCUGAGAUGAUGGCCUCGUCCGUCACCUUGGGGAUCUUGAGGCGAGCGCAAUUGAAGCGCUGGAUGUACUUCUGCAGGGUCUCCCCAGGCUGCUGCUUGAUGUGGCGCAGGUCACCCGCGGCUGGGGGGUGGUCGCGAGUGCCCUGGAAGUUGGCGAUGAAGCGGCUGUGCAUCUCGUCCCAAGAGGAGAUCGAGCCAGGAGGCAGGUUUAGGAGCCAGGUGCGGGCACCGUCCUUGAGCGCCAUGGGAAACCAGUUUGACAUGACCUUUUCGUCUCCGUUGGCCGCCUCGAUACCUAGCUCGUAGAGCCGCAGGAACACCGCAGGGUCGGCAGUACCGUCGUAGCGGGGAGGCAGGUCCGGCUUGAACUUGCCGGGCCAGACGACGCUACGCAGCUCGGUGGUGAACGCGCGGCAACCUGCCUUGGUCACCGGAGCCCUUUGCUGAUGCAGAACCUGCUCUUGGUUGUUCCCGCGCACCGCCGCCAGGGGUAGCACGGGGUCUUGACGCGCUGGUGCAGGGAUGCGGUCUUGUCACGCUGGUGCAGGGAGCACGUGAGCGCCUUCUUGAGGCUGAGGGAUUUCUUGGCAACUUCUUUCUUGCUGCGCGGGCACUGGACGCAGCGGGUCGCGUUCGGGGGCCGCGCGCCUUGGAGCCAGAGCGCCUUCUUGGGGAGGAGGUGGCGCUGGCGCUCCCUAAGUUGCGUCGCCCACGCACGACGGAGGACGAGGCAGCGAGAGGGACGGCACGGGAGAGCCCCCUGCGGCACUGACGAGCUCGGUGAUGCGAGCGAGCCAUUCUUCGUAGAGGUCGUCGACGGGGCGGUAGUGCAGGAGCUCACGUGCCAGGAGCAACGCGGCCUGCGCGACGAGCGUGAGACGACGAACCAGCUGGGGUCAGCGACGGAGUGGCGGUGCGGCCUCCCCGCCGCACCGAGGGGUGCAGCGAAGAUGCUUGCUGCUCGUUCCCCACCGGGCCGGUGGCGGCGUUGGCGGCAGGCGACGGAGAACGACGAGGAGGCCCACCAACGGGGGCCAUCUGGGCGACGCGGGCGGCGAGAGCAGCCCGGCGCUCGGCGAGCGUCUGCCAUGGAUGCGACGAAGCGAUGGGACGUAGAUCAGCGGAAAAGAUUUUGGCGCACCCCUACCUGGUGCGCCAAAUGUCGGAUGUGGGGUUCCAGCAAAACCCUUAAGUUUCGAACACUGGGGUGCGCGCGAAGAUCUACUCCCUACCGAAACACGCCCACAACCUCACCGCGAUUCUAAGCUAGCACGAUGAACGGCACAAGAGACACGAGGUUUAUACUGGUUCGGGCCACCGUUGUGGUGUAAUACCCUAAUCUAGUGUGUGGUGUGGUGGAUUGCCUCUUGGGCUGAUGAUGAACAGUACAGAGGAAGAACUGCCUCACGAGGGGUGUUCUUGUGCUUGGUGGAUGUGUGGGUGAUCUGAAUCAGUUGGCUCCGGAUGAGAUGGGAUCCAUCCCCUUCUACUGUGGUGGCUAGCCCUAUUUAUAGAGGCCCUGGUCCUCUUCCCAAAUAUUGAGCGGGAAGGGAGCCAACAACGGCCAUUUUGAAAGGGGACACCUAGUACAAGCUAUCCUGACUAAAGGUGGUCUUCGACUACCAAAGGCACUGGCGAUGACGCCGUCUUGGGCUCCAUGGUGACCUCCGUCCUGCCGCUCUGCUGGUCUUGGUCUUGUUGCACCUAUAUGGAAACCUUUGCUUGAUGCCUUGGUACUCUGCGCCUGCGCUGGCCCCCUUUGCACCAAAGAGGAAACGAGGACACUACGCAGUCUGGCGCCCGCCUGGUCCUGAUCGUCAUGGCUUGCGUCAUGAGCACCUCGCGAGGUACCCCUUGCCUUGAUCUCUCCGCCUCCUCACGAGCCUGCCUGGUGAGGCCGCCCCUGGGGAGGCCUUGUGCCGUCCGCCCCGCGAGGCUUGGCCCCCCGCGAGGGUCUUGAGCUUGGGUUGAUGAAGACGGGCCGUACUGGGCCGCUGGUGAGCCAUGCUGCAGGCCGCAGGCAGACAAGUCUGGGGACCCCCGUUCCCAGAACACCGACAGAAUUUAGUUCUGGGGGCUUGACCAGGCUUCAACGGCUUCAUCAAUACUUGCAUGUAAUGAUCAGAUAGUUCAGGUUCAUGGUAGAUGAGUUGCGCACCUUCAAGGGGAGGACUGACAGGUAGGGCAUGAAGCAAUUAAGAGGCCGGUGCUUUGAAGUGAGUGUUUUCUGUCAUCCAAUCCAGCACCCAUCAAUUCACAUCUUCAGCAUUGUCGGUGAUGUGUAGUGUGGCGUAGAACUAAAGAAUUAGUUCUUCAUUCCAGUCUACGAUGUCGGUGCAGAAGUUUAGCUGCCCAGCAUCAUGAAGAACACUAAGGACUGGGGUGAAGCAAGGCAGCGAUUCCAUGUCCACAUGAGGAAUAUGCUUAUGGUCAAAGAUCUUGUCCUUAUCAAAAAGCAGUGAAGAGUAGAAGUUGGCUUGGCUGGCUGUCCAGAAACGCUUCCUUCGAAGAUGAGCAGAGUCAUAUGGAGUGUAAUCGGUGAAGAACACAUGCUCGUGAAAGAAGUCAUCAGCCUUGAAUUUUUGCUUUUUGGAGACGGGAUUCUUCGGCUUGGGCUGAGGAGUAUCAGUCAAUGCCUUCACCGUUUCAGGAAUCACAAUCUCAGGAGCCACAGGCUGAGGAAUUUCAGUUUCUGCUUCAGUAGCAGCCUGGGUCUUCAUUUCUUCAACAACAUCAGCAUCACCACUAGUGGCUGGAAUUUCUUCAUGAAUGGAAGGUGUGUCUUGAGGUUCGUUAGAGCCCAUUUGAAUUUCUUCAGUCUGGACAAGGGACUGAGGAAUUUAUUGCAGUGGGGUGAACAAUGGUGAGUUGGGGUGCUGACUGUCCCAAUAGUCAUCGUUCAGCACCGGAGUGGAGCACCCAAUGUCCACAUCUUCUUCAUCAUUAAUUUCUUCAACGCCGGCCUCUUCAGCAGUGAACUGAGGCAUGGGCGAUGAGACCACUGGGGUUGAAGGGAUAUUAUCCACUUCAAUUUCUUCGUCCAACUGCUUUGUCGAAGUAGCAGAAGGGUCUUCUUCAUCAGAUUCAUUGGGAAUUUCAUAAUCUUCACCAAAGGGUACAAGCUCCUUUGAUGGCAUGCUAGAAACAGGAAUAGCAUCAAUUGGAUUCUCAAAAGAACUUGUCAGAGUCUUCAUCUUCUUUGGUGCUGAAGACUCUGAGGUGGCGGAUGCUUUCCUCUUCUUCACAGCUGCUUUCUCCGCAGCUUUGGUUUUCUUCACAUCUGAUGCAGAAGGUAGAAUGGGACUUGGCGUUGGUGCAGGAGGAGCAGAUGAAAUUGGUUCAUUUUCAUCAGGCACAACUGAUGCAGUAGCCCUGAUUGAUUCAGUUUCUUCAGGCACAGCAUUUGAUUCUUCAGCUGGUCUGGCUUGUUCUUCAGGCGCAACACUAGUGGUUGCCCUGGCAAUGUCAUCAGCGGCUGGAAUAGCUUCAUCAGCCCUGGUACUUUCAGUUUCUUCAGCAACCUGAUUUUCAUCAGCGGUGCUGGCAUGACCCUUCAGUUGGCUGGGCAGAUGCUUCAGCUUGAGGAGAUUCAUGUUGCGUUGGAGCUGCAACAUUUGAGGUGAAUCCUUCAGUCAGUUUCACAAAUCUGACUUUGGCUCCAAGCCAAUCUGUAUGGUAGACAUUGAAUUCAUCAUUGAGACAUUUGAUCUCAGACUGUAUGGCAACAAGUUCAUCAGUUGUCAUGUUGACAACAUUCUUCUUCAGAAAACGCUCCUUCUUGUACUGAGCUUUCUUCAGCUUCCUGGCCUUCUCAAAUUUCCAUUUUUCUUCACUGAUGAAGGCGGUCAGCAUGUGACUUUGGCUAGGAGUCAGCUUGAAGUCUGGUAUAGGUGUGUUUGGAUCCUUGUGCCAGAGAUCAAUGAAGUCAAGAAUCAGCUUUGGAUCCAACAUCAAUGGCACAUUUGUGCUUUUGGCUCUAGCGGCCCUUUGUUGUCUGUCUCUGAUGAUUUCUGCAAGUUCAUCAUCAUCACCUUCGUCAUCACUGGACGGUACAUGAAAGGCAACCUGCUUCUUGUGAGGACUUGGUCUAGUGCCUCGUCCAGCAGUGGCCUUUGUCUUCAGCAGAGUGGGGCCAGUUGAGGAUUGCAGAGGAGCUGAAGAACUUGCAGAGGCUCCUGAGGCAAUUGAGAUGCCUUUGGUCCUUUGACACGAGGCGAGAUGCAUAGGUGCAGAGGACUUUGCCGGAGGAGCUGAGGACUUUGGAGGAGCUGGAGCAGCAUGAGGAAUUUGUUGUGAGGGCUUUGCAGAACUAGGCCAUGAGGGCAUUUCUGAGGUGCUUGGCCGUGUGGGCAUUGAAGCAGAGGCACUGGGCUUAUGUGUGGGCUUCUUGGGCAUAGCCUUUUUGGGCUUGCUAGCAGAGGCCUCAGCAGUGGCAGCAGCAGCAGCAGCAGAGUCUUCAUUGAAUUUCCUCACUUCUUCUUUGGCCAUUUUGGCCAGUUUAGCUUGCCGUUCGCCCAUUCAUCAGGAUAGUCCUCACCGCGCUUGAGGAUGGUGGGAUCAGCUUCUUGGCCAGGUGCCAAUGGAGGUCUUGGGCAAGGAGGGUGAAGAGCGAAUUUCUUCAUGUACUUUGGAGUGACAUACCUGUACUCCCUCCAUUCACGUGCCCAUCUCCUCUCAAUAUUCUGAAUGUGCACUUUGCACUCAUUCUUUGUUUCCUCAGGGGGUGUGCAGUACCCUGCAUAGAUGUCUUCAGGGAUUUCAAAAGCAGUGUUGACUUCCAGUCUCUUGCCUCCCUUCUGAGGUUUCUUGCCAUCUAUCAUUUUCUUCAGCUGAGGAUUUUGAACAAUUGAGUUCUCUGACGAGGUAUGCAACUUUUCUUCGAGGAACGCUGCAAAUGAGUUAAGUUGAUGAGAACCUAGUGAUUCAGCAGCGGACAUGAGUACCUAUGAACAGAGUAUAGGUGCGAAGAAUUUGGAGAGGUCAUAUGCGUUCUCAGAAGUUUUUGCAAAAAGAACAAGUUUGAGGAAUUUGACCAGAUGUGUCUUGAGGAAUUUCACUAAGCGUUCUUUGACUUAGGUUCUAGAGUUGUAUAGAUUGAAAAUCCACACAAUUGAGGAAUCUUGAAGAAAAAUGUUACUUGGAGAAACAGAUCAAGAACGGAUGUUUGUGUGAGGUGUUUAGAGUGUGAAGUUGAAGAAUAAACACCUUUUGAAGAUUUUGUCGAAAUCAUAAGAAUCAACAAGGGCAGUAAAAGUAACUUCUAAUUACCCUUGAUGAAGAACACGAUGAACUAGGAAUAGUAGAUUGGAAGUUCAACUGACUGGAUCUUCCACGCCCUAACUUGGCAGAGGAAGACAGCUACGGCGGCGGCGGAGUGAAGAAAUCUGCGGCCGCCGCGAGUACGACGGCGGCGAGGUCGAGGCAGUGAAGCUCUUCCUCACCGGCGACGAUGGAAGUAGCGGCGGAGCUAGGUUUGAGAGCUUGAGCGAGGGAGUGAAGUCGAGCGGAGUAAAAACAGUCUGAGGAGGGUGAGGGGUAUAUAUAAGCGAGGUGAAAAACCGCUCGCCUAAGGAAAAUGGACGAACGUGCCCCUCAUCCUAGCGACAUGUGUCACCCACGUACAAAGCGAUGGCGAUCGUGUGAGAUCAUGGGUGAAUAGAUAAUUCUUAUCGUGGGAUGUGGAACGGUUUAGGCGGCAAGAGCCAAAAAUUUAGAUAAGACAAUUUUAAUGUUUCGUUCGCAAAUUCUUCAGCUUACAAGGACACAGUGAAGAUUUUGAACAGGUUUCAAGUAGAAUGCACAUGAAGAAUUUGUGAACAGAAUGGGUUGAGUAUAGCAUAGAGGGGGGAAGGGUCCGAUCACAUUCACUUAGCAGAAAAAGGCAACUUCAAGAAAUAGCAAUAAGUGAAUGUCGUAGAGGACAUAAACUCAUACAUAUAUAUAUAUAUAUAUAUGUGUGUAUAUAUAUAGUCAAUGAAGAAAAAUGACGGAGAGAGUAAAGACAAGGCAAAUUUGAAGAAUUUGAACAACUGAGGAAUUUCAAAAACUGAAGAAAAACUCAAAUUGAAGAUUUUUCAACUUUUGUUGGUGGCGUGACCCACCGUAUAAGAAUGAUUAUUUCAGACACCGCGUACAAUUGUCGUAGGGCUCUGAGAAUCAAAUUCUUGGUUAAUUUCUUCACACUUAGAGGGUUAGCCUUCAUUUAUUGAAGAAAAAUGUUACUUCGUGUGUUGCACAUCUAAGUCAUCAAUUUUUCAUAAGUGUUAGGAUGUGUGUCCUUUUCAAAGGACAUUCAAAGAUUCUAAGAUAUUUAGCUCACACCGCAACUUGCUAAAUCUCUUCUCAUCCAAGGGCUUUGUGAAGAUAUCGGCUAGCAGUUCUUCAGUCUUCACGUGCUCGACGGAGAUAUCGCCCUUCAACACAUGAUCAUGAAGAAAAUGAUGACGAAUUUGAAUGUGCUUUGUCUUCGAGUACUGAACUGGGUUGUGAGCAAUCUUGAUGGCACUCUCAUUGUCACAGUAGAGAGGCACAUUCUUCACAUUGAUGUCGUAGUCCUUGAGUGUUUGCUUCAUCCAUAGCAAUUGAGCACAGCACGAACCAACAGAAAUGUACUCAGCUUUAGCAGUUGACAGUGAUACGCAGUUCUGUUUCUUCGAAGACCAACAGACCAAGGAUCGUCCGAGGAAAUGGCAUGUGCCUGAUGUUGACUUGCGGUCCACACAAUCACUAGCAUAGUCAGAAUCUGAAUAUCCAAUGAGAUCAAAAGUCGAGCCCUUGGGAUACCAUAAUCCAAGUGUUGGAGUGUGAGCUAGAUAUUGAAGAAUAUACUUCACAGGCUUAUGGUGUGAUUCCUUCGGUGUACCUUGAAAACGGGCACACAUGCAAACACUAAGCAUAAUAUCUAGCCUAGAUGCACAUAAAUACAAUAAAGAGCCAAUCAUGGAGCGGUAUACCUUUUGAUCGAAGUCAAUACCAUUUUCAUCAGUGCAUAGAUGGUCAUUUGUGGGCAUAGGAAUUUUGACUCCUUUGCAAUCUUGCAUGCCGAAUUUUCUCAAUACAUCCUUGGGGUAUUUCUCCUGAGAUAUGAAGAUGACGUUUCAUUGUUGACGAAUUUGAAGACCUAAGAAGAAUUUCAAUUCUCCCAUCAUAGACAUUUGAUAUUCUUCACUCAUCUUAUAGGCAAAUUCAUCACUGUAACGUUGGUCAGUACAGCCAAAGAUGAUAUUAUCAACAUAUAUUUGGCACACGAAUAAUUCAUCAUCAUAAGUUUUGGUGAAAAGAGUUGGGUCAAGUGAACCGGGUUUGAAGCCUUUCUUCAUGAGGAAUUCCUUCAAAGUAUCAUACCACGCCCGAGGGGCCUGCUUGAGGCCAUAGAGGGCCUUAUUGAGUCUGAAGACUUUGUCAGGAUGCUUUGGAUCUUCAAAACUUGGGGGUUGAGCAACAUAUACUUCUUCCUCAAGCUUACCAUUUAGGAAUGCAUUUUUCACAUCCAUUUGAUAUAAUAUGAUAUUGUGAUGGUUAGCAUAAGCAAGUAAUAUGCGAAUAGCCUCAAGUCUAGCAACAGGUGCAAAAGUUUCAUCAAAGUCAAUUCCUUCAACCUGUGUGUAGCCUUGAGCUACCAGCCGUGCCUUAUUCCUCACCACAAGGCCAUUUUCAUCUUGCUUAUUCUGGUAGAUCCAUUUGGUGUCGAUGAUAUUGUGCUUGCGUGGGUCUGGUCGCUUGACAAGUUCCCACACAUUGUUGAGCUCGAACUUAUGUAAUUCCUCUUGCAUCGCUUGAAUCCACUCAGGCUCCAAAAAUGCGUCAUCUACCUUAGUGGGCUCUGUGUCGGCGUUCUGGGAACGGGGGUCCCCAGACUUGCCUGCAUGCGGCCUGCGACGUGGCUCAAGGGGUGGCCCAGUACGGCCCAUCUUCAUCAACCCAAGCUCAAGACCCUCGCGAGGGGCCAAACCUCGCGGUGCAGACGACGCAAGGCUUCCUUAGGGUCGGCCUCACCAGGCAGGCUCGCGAGGAGGCGGAGAGAUCAAGGCAGGGUUACCUCGCGAGGUGCUCAUGACACAAGCCAUGACGAUCAAGGCCAGGCGGGCGCCGGCCUGCACAGUGUCCUUGUUUCCUCUUUGGUGCAAAGGGGGCAAGCGCAGGCGCGGAGUACCGAGGCAUCAAGCAAAGGUUACCAUUCUGGUGCAACGAGACCAAGACCAGCAGAGCGGUAGGACGGAGGUCACUGUGGAGCCCAAGACGGCGUCAUCGCCAGUGCCUUUGGCAGUCAAAGACCACCUUUACUCAAGAUAACUUGUACUAGAUGUUCCCCUUCAAAAUGGCCCUUGUUGGCGCCCUUCCCGCUCAAUAUUUGGGAAGAGGACCAGGGCCUCUAUAUAUAGAGCUAGCCACCACAGUAGAGGGGGGUCGAAUCCUUCUCAAGUAGAACACACCACACCACCUCAAGAACACCCCUCGUGAGGCUGUUCUUCCUCUGUACUGUUCAUCAUCAGCCCCUGAGGCAAUCCACCACACCACACACUGGAUUAGGGUAUUACACCAAAACGGUGGCCCGAACUAGUAUAAACCUUGUGUCCCUGGCGUUGUUCAUCGUGUAGCUUAAGAUUCUCAGCGAGGCGUUCGGGCAUGGAUCGGUAGGGGAAAGAUCUCCGCGCGCACCCCAGAGUUCGAACCUUAAGGGUUUUGCCGAAACCCGAUAUCCGACAUUUGGCGCGCCAGGUAGGGGUGCGCCGAAAUCUUUCUUCCGUCGUCCCGCGUUCCGCCGCCUCGCCGCCUCCAUGUCCGGCGACAAGACCACCAACGCCGACCGCUGGGCGGCAUGGCCUGCCUAUGACGCACCGCCUGCCCAAGGUGCCCUCGACCCCGCGCCUCAGGCAGCCCGCGCUCCGCAAAACGCUGCGGGGCAUGGGCGACGUGGUGAAGCGCCGCUUGCCCUCACCCGGCGGCAUGUGAGGUCAGCAGCAAGGGCAUCAAACCACGUCGCGGCCAUGGCACCGCACACCCGACGGGAGCAGGUGAACAUGAAGGCUGCGCUCACGGUGGCUCGAGAACUGCUACGGUGCAGGCUCCAAGAAGGCGGCCAUGACAUGCUGCUGGAGCGCGUCGUUGAGCUCCUGGACGCCGCUGCUUCAGGGGUGCCCCCCUUCUGCGUCCAGCUUCCACCCCAGGCCCCGGGCGGAUCACACGGCGGGCCCAUAUGCACCCGCGCGCCCCCAGGCGUACCUCAAGGCUUCAUCAGCACCAGCUCGGCCAUCAGCGCUGGGCGACGAGCUGCACUAGCACCUCCUCUUGCAAGCGAGGGCAUGCACGUCGCUGCCUAUGGCCCGGGCGGGCCGCCGCCCUAUCAACCCCAAGACGGUGCUUCAAGCCAAGCCACAUGGAGCGUGGGGCACUACGGCGAGGCCUUUGGGGCGGCGCCCCCGGAGGCUUAUGUGCCCCACAUGGUGGAUCAAGGGUACGCGCUGGAAGAAGACCAUGGCUCGUUCCUCGGGUCAGGCUGGGAGGAAGAGACGCCAGAAGACGAGCCCUUUCAGGAGCCUCAGGGAAGCCUCGCUGGCCGAGCCGGCGGCAGUAGCUAUCGGGUACCGCUAAUUCCUCGAGAGCAAGCUUAUUCUAACCAUGGGUCACAGGAAGUCCAGGUCACCGCAGCGGAAGGAUGCCCCAGUGCGGCGGCCUCCCUCCCCUCAGGAGGAGGGCACUGGGGGCUGCAGGAGAGGGGCCGGGAGUCGGGCCCCUUCCCACGGCGCGCGGAGCAAGGUGUUCCUCAGAGGUAGGCCCUCUACCGGGGAGGUGCCGCAAGGCCUGCCCCCGGCAGAGGACCCGUGGUCGUCGGGGGAACCGUUGGCGUCCCCUUUUCCCCAUUGGCGUCGUCCUUGCUUUCUGGUCGCCGUCAAUGGUGGUCAAGGGUGGCGCAAGGCGGGGCCCUCAUCUGUCGAUAUGAAGCAAGGCCGGUACCUGUGAAGAAGGCCCAGUGCCUGUGAAGCUCGCCGCCCGUGACACUCUCACGUAAUAAUGAGUUGGGGCUGUACACGCCCCGGAGUCUCCGGAGAGCCGCCCUCGGGCCUCGGGGGCUCCCUCCCAUGCCCAGUGGCAGCACUUAGCUCCGCGCUGGUGAGAAGACGUCGAAGAGUAGACUAGGUGCCGGACGCGGCCUUUUGUUUUUGCUUCCUUUUGUGCUGCCGAACUUUCUCGCCUCGGAUUUAAGCUGAAGUUGGAUUUGUGUUUGCGUAUGUGGGGAGGGGUGAUCUGUCUUGCUCGCGUGCUUUCUCGUGUUCCGAUUUCCGCUCAAAUUGGAAUUCGCACUAGUUGCUUCCCCCUCGCGAGCCCUUCGCGGGCAGGACUGGGAUCAGCACGUGCGCGCAUGCCAUCCCGCGGCCGGCACUCGUUCUCGCGAGGCUCUCGCCACAUAGUCAACAGAUCCCCAGAGGACCCCCGAAGAAUCGCGACCCCGCAAGCCUACACAAGGCUCAUCCGGGCUAAGGUAAGCCGUAGCAACUAACUCAUCGCAGGGCACGUAACAUCAUGCAAGCACACAUUCAUCGUCGCUCCUAAAAGCACGUGGACAACAAUCUUUUUACACGAGGGGCUUCCCCUCCAAAAAUGCUCUCACAACCUUCGGGGCCACGCCCAAGUCUUUUUCUGCGCAGGAUAAACAGCAGGGGGAAUGCGAAAUCAGUCAGACAUAUCGCUCACCGUGUCCUCUGGGUCGCCUCCGAAGGCAUCACUGGCGCCGCUGCCACUGUCACUGACGCCGCCACCGCCGUCAUUGGCGCCACCUUCACCGCCAUUCACCACAUCACCUUCAUCUGCAGCAACCACCACCCCAUCAUCAUCAGAGGUGAAGGCCCGGACGAGUGCAUCAACAUUAUCCUCCACCCAUCGCGCCAGGUCGCCUUGGAUGGCCUCAGGCACCGGGGCGAUGGCAGCGUCGAAGUCAAAAUGAGGGUCGAUGUCCUGAAGAUGGCUGAAGACGCGGGAGAAUGCCCGUGCAAGAAGGCCACGUCUCCUCUCCUCAACAAGCUGGCAAGCCCUCUCAGAGCGACUCUCCAGAUGCGUCACCACAUCAGUGAAGAACCGGAGAUUACCAGCAUAGUUGGUCACAUGAGGCUCCUCAACGACUGCAUCACAGAUAUUGCCCAGGGCCGUGUUGGCCCUUUCCCUGAGCGUUCGGAGCAUAGGACCAUGCAUAUGCUCCAGCGUCUGCCGCUGGCGAAUCUCAUCUUCGUUCCGCCGCGCAACAGACUCGGCGUCAUCGACCCUCCGUUGGAGGAGGAGCAGCUCGGUGCAGGAGGAGGCCAGUUCAGCCUGCGCCGUGUCUAGGGCGGCUGCAGUAGCCUCGGUGCGCCGCGUUGCUUCGAUCAGCUUGGUCCUAAGAGCGGCAGUCCUGCCUUCAGCUUCGGCCUUGAUCAGCUCCAACCUCUGUUCGUACUCGCGCUCAAGACCCGCACGAGCUUCCGCCACGCGGCGGUCGAUCUCCUCCUGGAUUCGGGAAUCCCGCGCGCCAACAUCAUCCUCCGCCAGAGUAACUUGGCGCUCCCUCGUCUCCAGCCAUUCAAGAUCGAGGUUGCGCUCGGCAGCCUCCAGCGUCAGCACUUCUUCGCGCUUCCGGAGCUCCUCCUCUUCGACGGGUGUUCCCUUCAGUGACGCAAGCGCAGAUUGGCGCAGCUCCACUUGUUGCUCCAGGGAAUUGCACCAGGCCUGAAGUUCCCACGCCCGCUCCUCCGUGAUCUCGUGCCGUCGGUCUGCCUCUUGAGCUUCCUCAAUGGCUCGGGAGCAGGCCCUUCGCGAGGCCGCAAGAGGUGCUUCGGCCUUUGCAUUGUCAAGAUCACGUUGGUGGCGCGCAAGGCUGACGGCCACUUUCAACUUGCGUCGCUCCUCAACCAACCGCAAGCCUUCAGCUUCAAGACGCGCGUCUGCGUCAGCAAGCUCUCCGACGAGCGGGCCCAUCGCAUCCGUCGCCUUCCGAAGAAACUCUCGGCGGAUGGCGCUGCGCUCCCGCGCCCACUUGAGCACGUCGUCAACAUCGUCCUCCGCUGACGGCUUCGCCAGAGGGCCCUGGAGUGGUUCACCCCCUCUCGACAGGGGGCUGGGGGCUAGCGCCCCCACAAUCGCCGGACGGGCCCAGCGGGGGACCCAGCCCGGCGCUGACCCAUCCCCAGAAGAGGAGCCGAAGAUCGACUUCAACCACUCGCCAUCCAUGAUCAGGGGAGGAGCCCGGGGCAGGCUAGUUGUGCCCCGGGCAAGCUCGCGAAGGAAGGACGACGAGCGCACAGGCUCGAGGCGCACCGCAGAUCGGCCCGCCUCUCCAGCCGAACUCGCGUUGAGGGUAGUGCGCAGGCUCGCGACGCUCAAGGUCAGCGAUGAAGAUGGAGCCUGAGGAGGUGGCUCCUUGGCUGUCUCCGCAGGCUCGGCAAGAGGGAUCCUGAAAGGCCAAAGUCAGCGAAGGGAACAGAGAAUACGGAGUUACAAGACGGAGGAACUUACUCGUCCAUGGCAAGGUACUUCCGGUGCUUCAAUGGGCGGCAAGGGCGAUCGCCGCCACCCGAAGCCUCCUUCCUCAUGCGGAGGGCGUCGAAGUCUAUGCGGAACCAGCCCAAGCUCUUGACGUGAGGGCCGGCGCGCGACACGGACGAAGAAGCACCAAGGCGGCCUGGACCAGGGACGCCAGGCUGGGAAGAGCAAUCAAGUACCACCUCUUGGUGGUCAGUCGAGGCGUGGGGGCUUCGCCCCCGGGGGCCGCAGGUCGCGCUUCCUCAACAACUACCGCCUCAGGCCGUGUCUCGCAAGCUCCGGAGGACGACGCCUCGGGAGCCCCGCGCGACAUCAGCAUCCCAGCACUAGGUCCCCCAGCCCCUGGGGAUGCUUGCCUCCCUGCACCACCUCCUGAGGCAACAUCGACACGGGCAGCGGGGAGAGGAGCCACGGCAACUGGGUUCUUGUGGGGCCCCACGAGGCUAGCUGGGCACAACCCCCAUUCAUCAAAGCAGGGCAUCUGCCUCGCGAACUCGGCCUUGCUCGAGCAAAGAUACAGGAGGCCGCCCCCUUGCCGAAUGCCGCCCGGAGAAGGGUCAUCGGUCAAGACCUUCAGCACCUUCCUCAUCGUUUCAGGCGCAAGAUCCCACUCCUGAAGCCUCAUGCGAUCUUGAUGCCCGGUCAGGGUCCACAUCGGUCGAGAGUGGCGCUGAAGAGGGGCGAUGCGACACUGGAGGAACUCCUUCACCAUCUUAGGCGCCAUCACGCCAAGCGUCCUCAACCUCUCGAAUCAGCGCCAGAUGAAGGCAAGCUAGGGGCUUGUGAGCUUCUCGUAACCCCAGCCAAGAUUAGGGAUAGCAGGCAAUGUCGGGUGCGUGAGCAGGGGGCUGGGCACCCCGACAUCCACGUACAGCCACCGCUCCCGGAACCCACUCAUGGAAGGCGGAAGGCCAAAGUCGAUCCCCGAGGCAGCUGUCUCUGGCAUGGCCUGGAAGCUCACGCACCCCGAGCACUACAGGGAAUCGGUCAGGCGCAAGGAGAAGAAGUGGCGUAGGACGGCAACGGAAGGAGCAAUGCCCACCAUGGCUUCGCAGACAAAGGCGAAGGCAGCAAGAAGAGUGAUGGAUUGGGGAUCGAGAUGCAUCAUAUGGAUCUGGUAGUGGGAGAGCACCGCAUUGAAGAAGGCGGAGAAGGGAGGAACCAGGCCGGCCCACAGGGCGUCGGCAAAGAAUCGAACCUCCGUGACGAUCCUGUCGAAGGAGGCAUGGGACGCAGGCCAAGCUGUAGUCCUUCCGCACUCGUUGAAGCUGGAGGCGAGGGCAGAGCGGACCUUGUCCAAGGCUUCCGGAUUGAGUAUCAGCGACCGGCCGACGGCAGGUGCGAUUGCCGGAGGCGAGCUGGUCAAAGCCGCGGGCUUCUUCCCUUUCUCUCUUUUGGUUGGCGCCAUGGCAACAGAAGGAAGCAGAGCUCAAGUCUGAUUGGAGGUGGAAGUUGAGAUACGAGGAAGAAAGGGGGGAACCGAAAGCUCGCGGGUAGCAAGGAGGGAAUAACUGUGUACAGUUGCGUGGCCGCCUAGCCAGGCGUAUAUUGGGGGAGCGUGGGGAAGCGAAGACGCCCACGUCCAAUCAACUGCCACGCGGCGACCAAGGCCGUAGGCUAUUGGGGCCCGCGGCGUUCCGCACUUGCCGUUUCGCUUCGCUGCUAGGCCAAGCCCGAGCGUGCCUUGGGCCCGGGGGCUACUGUCGGCGUUCUGGGAAUGGGGGUCCCCAGACUUGCCUGCCUGCGGCCUGCGGCGUGGCUCAAGGGGUGGACCAGUACGGCCCAUCUUCAUCAACCCAAGCUCAAGACCCUCGUGAGGGACCAAGCCUCGUGGGGCGGACGACGCAAGGCUUCCCAGGGUCGGCCUCACCAGGCAGGCUCGCAAGGAGGCAGAGAGAUUAAGGCAGGGUUACUCGCGAGGUGCUCGUGAUGCAAGCCAUGACGAUCAAGGCCGGGCGGGCGCCAGGCGGGCGCCGGCCUGCGCAGUGUCCUUGUUUCCUCUUUGGUGCAAAGGGGGCAAGCGCAGGCGCGGAGUACCGAGGCAUCAAGCAAAGGUUACCAUUCUGGUGCAACGAGACCAAGACCAGCAGAGCGGCAGGACGGAGGUCACCGUGGAGCCCAAGACGGCGUCAUCGCCAGUGCCUUUGGCAGUCGAAGACCACCUUUAGUGAGGAUAACUUGUACUAGCUGUUCCCCUUCAAAAUGGCCGUUGUUGGCGCCCUUCCCGCUCAAUAUUUGGGAAGAGGACCACGGCCUCUAUAUAUAGAGCUAGCCACCACAAUAGAGGGGGGUCGAAUCCUUCUCAAGUAGAACACACCACACCACCUCAAGAACACCCCUCGCGAGGCUGUCCUUCCUGUGUACUGUUCAUCAUCAGCCCCCGAGGCAAUCCAACACACCACACACUGGAUUAGGGCAUUACACCACAACGGUGGCCCGAACCAGUAUAAACCUUGUGUCCCUUGCGUUGUUCAUCGUGUAGCUUAAGAUUCUCAGCGAGGCGUUCGAGCGUGGAUCGGUAGGGGGGAGAUCUCCGCGCGCACCCCAGAGUUCGAACCUUAAGGGUUCUGCCGAAACCCGAUAUCCGACACUCUGUGAUAGAGACGAAAGCAAAGUGCCCACAAAAGUUAGACAAAUGUGAAGCUGUUGAGCGUGUGAGAGGACCUGGUGCUCUGAUGCCGUUGAUGAUUCUCUCAAUCUGCACUUCAUUAGCAACGCGAGGAUGAGCUGGUUGACGACGAGGGAUUUGCUUAGCAUUUUCUUCAGAGCCAUUUUCUUUAGGUGCACCAGCAUGAUAUUCUUCACGUUCUGGAAUGACUUCUUCAUUAUAUUCUUCGGUAGGAAUGACAUCCUCAGUAGCCUUGAAAUUAAUGGAUUCCUCAGGUGGUAUUUCAUCUAGCACAGGAGGUAGGUGCUCUCUUUGCGAGCCAUUAGUUUCAUCGAACCGCACAUCUACAGUUUCAACAACCUUGUGGUGAUAGGUGUUGAAGACUCUAUAGGUGUGCGAGUCCUUUCCAUAACCAAGCAUAAAACCUUCAUGUGCUUUCGGUGCAAAUUUAGAAUUAUGAUGAGGAUCUCUAAUCCAACAUUUAGCACUGAAGACUUUGAAAUAACUCACAUUGGGUUUCUUGCCAGUGAGGAGUUCAUAUGAGGUCUUUCUGAAUAAUUAGUGAAGAUAUACCCUGUUGAUGAUGUGGCACGCGGUAUCAAUUGCCUCAGGCCAGAAGCAAGGAGGCGUCUUGUAUUCAUCAAGCAUAGUGCGAGCCAUCUCAACAAGAGUCCUGUUCUUGCGCUCCACGGUGCCAUUCUGCUGAGGAGUAUAAGGAGCAGAUAACUCAUGAGUAAUACCAAGUUCAUCUAGAUAAUCAUCAAGACCAGUAUUCUUGAACUCAGUUCCAUUGUCACUUCUGAUGUGCUUGAUCUUCACACCGAAGUUGGUUGAAGCCCUCGAGGAAAAUCAUUUGAAGACUUCCUGCUCUUCAGUUUUGUAAGUGAUGAUAUGUACCCAUGUAUAACGAGAAUAGUCAUCAACAAUGACAAAGCCAUAUAAGGAUGCAGCAUUAGUAAAUGUGGCAUAAUGAGUAGGGCCAAAGAGAUCCAUGUGAAGCAAUUCAAAUAGAGUGGUAGUCAUGAUGGUCUUCGAGGGAUGCUUGGCCUUGGUCAUCUUUCCAGCUUCACAAGCUCCACACAAAUGGUCCUUGAGGAAUUUGACACCCUCGAUGCCAAUGACAUGCUUCUUCUUCGCGAGCGUGUGCAAGUUCCUCAUGCCAGCAUGACCAAGUCGUCGAUGUCAUAGCCAUCAUUCUGAAGCUUUUGCAAGUAGACAUGUAGCAGGUUGUGGUCCUGUAGAGAAAUCAACAAUAUACAAAUCUCCUCUCCUAAAGCCUUCGAAGACUUUGGAAUUGUCAGCUUCCAUGAUCACAACACAACGGCACUUGCCAAAGACAACAACCAUAUCAAGAUCACAAAGCAUUGAGACAGACAUGAGGUUGAACCCUAAGGACUCAACAAGCAUGACUUUGUCCAUGUGUCGAUCCUUUGAGAUUGCAACCUUACCUAGACCCAAUACCUUGCUUUCGCCUUUGUCAGCGUAGGUGAUAUGCUUCAGAUGCGAUGGAGAUAAAGCAGUGUCUAUCAAUAGGCUCCUGUCACCAGUCAUGUGUUUUGUACAUCAACUGUCGAGGACCCACUUAGUGGCUUUGGGUUGAUCAUCCUGCAGAUGAGUUAGUGCAUCUUACGAACUCGUAUACUUCAUCAGUGAAGAAUAUAACAUCAAUUUCAUCAGAUCAAUUUCAUCAAGCGAUAGAACAGGUAAAGCAGUAUGAGGAUGUCGGUGUACAAAAGUAGGGGCACUCCUUUUUUACCCCUUUACUUGUGCACGGACAGUCGGAGCCGCGCCCACGGCCACACUGAGCAGGGCAGAGGAGGGAAGCCGAAGGCACAAGGCGACCAGAGGCAACGCCAAGACCAAAGAACACAAAAGAGCAAGAGGGCAAGGUGGACUCCCUCGGCAAGACCCUUGCCGGGGGAGCCUCCGCGGCCCCGGCAAGAGCCUUGCCGGGGCAACUUGCCCGAUGCUAGUAGAGCAGGCCACCCUUGACCCCGCGGGUUCCAACACCACCAACUAACUACAUUGGAACCAAGGCUCGGGAGGUGCCUCUGUGGUGGCAUGCAGAUCUUUGUCAAGAUCAUAAACACACAAGAUCACAUGAGGAUCAGAAGACGACGAUCCUCGGCGGGAUCCUAGCCUAGGAAAUCCAUGAGACCCACGGCAAGACCCUUGCCGAGGACGACCACAGUGUCGCGGCAAGACCCUUGUCGGGGCCCCGGCAAGGCCCUUGCCAAAGACACUUACGGGGCCGUGGCCAGGCCCGCGCCUGCCAAGGCUCCACCGCCGUCCCCAUGCAGCUGCCAGCUCAACCAGCUGAGCAGGCACCUGCGUGGCGACGAGCGGCCUCCAUGACCGACUCAGCAAGCACCUGCAUGGUGGCAUGCAGGUCUUCAUGAAGGCUCCACCACUGUGCCAGCCCAGCAGCCAGCCAACGUGGCGCUACAACGCCUCGUCAGCUCGGACGCGCGUCGCGGCCAGGCGAGGCGGCGAUAGCUGGGACGUGCUUCCUUGCCGUCCCCGAUAAAGCGAGAGGGACACGUCGGCAGCGCAUCAAAUGCGUUUGUCCGACGGUGCCAGAGGAUAGGCUCAUCCACUGUACACCUUUCCACCUCCUGUGUGGCACUGUGGCAACCCCUUUUUGCCUAUAAAAGGAGGCCCGAGGCGACCAGGAGAAGGAUUCAGAUCUUUUUGGCAAGUUGCACCCCGUAGCUAGCUCAAGAACACAAGAACACUCAAAUACAUCCACCAAAGAAGGACUAGGGUAUUACACAUCUUCGCGGCCCGAACCUGGGUAAACAAUCCGUGUGCUUCCUGUCAGACCCGCUCUUUGCACAACCUCGCGCUCGCCAACCGUAGAAGGGAUCCCAGUGAUUCCAUAGGUGUCGUUUCCACCGACAUCUUUCGCACGCCAGGUAGGGGAUGGCGAAGUUGUGAAAAUCGGGUCCGAUCGGAGCAGCGGCUUCAUCAUGGCCGUCGUUCCAAGGAAGAAGACGACCAAGCCUGACGGCACCAUCUGCAGAUGCAGUGGAUGCCCGUGCAACGACAGAAAAGCUAAGUCGUGUGAAACUUUAAGCAAUUUCUCUUUAUAUAUAAGGCUAUUGUCCUCGGAGGUUUUGCCCUAUGUAUGGAAAACCUGCACGCAAAGGGGCCCUUCCGCUAUUGGCAACGCCCUUGCUCUGUUUCGAGUCCUCUCAAUAGCUCGAGCGGCCACGUCGAGAACGGUAGGGUAGCCUUCCGCAAUUGGCAACGCUCUCGAUUCUGACUCGAGUCAAGCUCGACAGUUCAAGCGGCCGCGUUGAGGACAGUAAGGUGGCUCGCCUGGCAGCAAGCACACCCGGUAGGCCAUUGGGGAUCCGUCCUCAAGGCGCCGCGGCCUGGGUUUAUGCGCCGGCAAGCCUACCCGAUUAACGUAGGGUGAACAUACAAGGGAAGAUCAAACAUGAAGAUAGCAUGCAUAAUAUCAAAAGUGUUGCAGAGUUAUAUUACAUCAAUUGUGCCAUGGUUCUAACUAAAGACAGAAAUUUUCUUGGUCAUGAGCUUGCAGUGCCGAUGAAGAACGGGGUGCCUAGUCCCGACGCUGGCCCUCGACCCUCUGGAUUCCGUCGAUGCGGCUAGUGAUGGGCUUGAUACGCUCCUCGAGCGUCGCGAGCUCUCCAGCACGGCGUCGAAGUCGAGGUUGGGGUUCCAGUGCGCCACCUUGGUGAGAACCUUGGUCAUGGCACCCCGGCAAAGCCUCCGUGCCUCGUCGGCCAGCGAGGCCGCCCUGUUGGAGCGGAACAGCUCCAGGGCUCCGAGAACACCCUCGAAGAAUAGCAUCAGCUUGGCGUUGGGGCUCACGUUCGGCUCCAGGACGUACCUCACGUUUGGCAUCCCCAUGGUAGCUAGUUGCAUGGUGAUCCUGUCGGCAACUUCCUCGAGGCGGCUGAUCCAGCAUUUCUCGCCUUUCACGAAAUCCUCGUGGUUGGCGGUCUUGUUCUUCCGCAGCUGCCUCUCCUUCUCCAGAUUCUUGGUCAGGGUCUCCUCCCGGGCCUUGACCUCCGACAGCGUCCCCUCGAGACCCUCUAGCUUUUGCUUGAGGUCUUUGAUGGAGUUGUUGGCCUCGGAAAGCUGCCCAGCCUUGCCGAGGACUGCGCCAUGUGCCUCAACCAGAGCACCGUUGAGCGUGUCCUUCUACAGCUUCAGGACCUGGUCCUUCAACCCGUCCCGCUCCACCUCCAGCUCCUUCACCUUGCCGACGUGAACUAGAGCCUGGGCAUUGAGUGCCUCCCUGUGCCUCCGCUCCAGCUCCUGGGUCCGCUGCACGACGAGCUUCUCCACCUCUUCGUCCUUGCCGCGGAGCGUUGCAGCGAGCUUCUCCUCACGCACGGCAGGUCCUCCUCCUGGGAGUUUAGCGUGGCCUGCUGCUGGUGCCGAGCAGCCUCAGCCUGGGCGGCCUCCUGCUUUGCCAGUUCCUGGGCCUUCUCGAUGUCGGACUGCUUCAUGACGAGCGCCAGGUCGCGCUCAGCCAGCGUGUCCUGGGCAGCCUUCAAGUCCUUGUGGGGCUGGCGGAACCAAGCCUGCGCCUCAGCGACGCGCUCCUCAAGGUCCGCCUCCGCCUUGUCCACCACCGCCAUCCUGAACUUGGCCUUGUCUAGGCAGGCGCGGUGGAGCGCCUGGAGCUUCUGGAAGUUGGCGCUCAUGGCCUGGAGGAGCCGCCCUUCCUGGGAACCGCCGCCACCGGUGCUCGGCUCGUCAACAACCUCAAGCCCGGCGGCGGCGAGCACUUCGUCAUCAAACACCUCCCCCUCGACGUCCGCCCCGGUGCUCGUCGUCCCUGGAAGGUGGACGAACAGGUCGUCGCUCACCCUCAGGUACCUGCCCGAGCCAGAGGCAGCGGAGGAGGAAGGUUGGUCGUCAACCACCUCCUCCUCGGCAGCGGCCUUGCCGGCCUCCUCAGCAGGCCCCUUGCCGGCCUCCUCGGCGGCAGCCUUGCCAGGCUCCCCGACAGACCCCUUGGCGGUGUCCUCAGCAGCAUCUUUGGCGGCCUCCUCGGCGGCGAUCUUUUUGGCCUCCGUCAUGGCGUCCUUGGCAACAUCCUCGAUGACGGUGUCUAUGACCUCCCGGUCCGCCGAGGGAGGAUCUGGAUAUCGAGAAGGGGAUGAGGCGAAGCCAAGACCAAGAUCCAAAAGAAAGAGAAGAAAAGAAGGAGCAGGGACAGAAGGCGAAUCACUUACCCGUGCCGGGCCGGGAAGAAGUAGCCCCUUCCCCGCCAACAUCUGGCGUCGGGACGGAGCCACCAGCACCUGGGUUCUCCUCCUCCUCCUCCGUGCGCAUGGGCUCGACGCUUGGCGCCCUUACCGGGGACGCCCCUCGGGGCAGCGUAGUUGAUGGGGGCGGCGUGUUGGGGGUGGCCCCCAGUGGCUCCUCCUACUGUCGUCCUCCUCCUGCAACCACGGCAAUGUCAGCACCAAGGGAUCGUACCCCGGCACGUGUUGAGGGGGAGCGAGUGGUGAACUUACGCUGGGGGCUGCGCUGGGGGCUGCUGUCCGGGCUGCUCACCACCACCAGCGGCGUACCCGAAGUGCCCGCCGGGGGUUAGCCGCCCGUCGAGGCCCAGGCCCUCUUCACCCUUUGGGCCAGCGUCUCCGCGUCCCUGCAAAGAUGAAAACAAAUCAAGAUAAGUGGCACAGUCUGAGGAGACGAAGAUGACAAAAAGAGAAGGAACAAGAUACUUACUCAUCCUCCACCUCCUCUUCUGCUGCCUUCCUCUUCCUCCUUGGGCUGAGGGACCCAAAAUCGAAGACAACCUCCGUGUCGUCAUCCGCGGGAGGAGGGGAAGCAGAUGGAGUCCGAGGACGCUUGGACGAAGAAGAGGCAGUUGCUUUCUUCUUCGCCAUCGCGGCCUUCACCAGCUUCCUCGCCGCCGCGGCCCUCAUUUGGCGCAUGAACGCCUCCUGGGCCUGCUGCGGUUGCACGGCCCUACUGGGCCGAACUGGCCCAUCAGAGCUGGCCCGCCGCAGGACUCGCCCUCUCCCCGUGGCCGGAGGGUCGAUAGUCUCGACCUCCUCCGACGAUGACUCGUCGACCACAUCUUCAAUGAGAGGGGCCUCGGUGCCGGCGUUGCUGGCCUCCCCAGCGGACUCCGCCCACUAGGAGAGCUCCCUCUCCUCCUCGGCCACCGCGGCCUCGUCCUCCACGCCGCCGGCGCUGCUGGCCUCCUUGACGAGCUCCGCCUCCGCCACCCUGGCGGCGAUGUAGUCCAGCUCCACCUGGGUGGUGCCCUGAACAAGCAGCGGCUCGGCACGGACGUACUUCUCCUCCAAGGUAUCAAAGAACUCCUGCACUUGAUCCGCCGGCGGCUCGGCCCAAUUUGGGACAAGGCCGUGCAUGUUGAACUCCAGCAUCAUGGCGAUGAUGUCGUUUCGGCGCGAGUUAUUGCUCAGCGGGACCACCCCCGCCGGCAACCCAAACAAGGGCCCCUUGGCAACCUUGCCAGUUUUGGCGGCCUUGCCGGACCGUACGACCUUGCUGUUGCGGUUCACGUCGAGCUGGAAGAGCCGCUGGCAGAAGUUGGCGUGCCCCAUCACCGUGAGGUUGUGGUCCAAGCCGGGGCGAAGCCUCGUGAUGUCGGCCGCAUUCGUGAAGAGCCAGGCCGGCCUCCCCUUGUUGUGUAGCGAAGCGAUUCGGCGGCGGAUGAAAUCCGCCCCGGUCAUCUCAAGGGUGAGCCCGGCCUCGGUGAGGCGAAGAAUCCUGGUGGUGGCGACCGUGAGCUUCGCGUCGUCGGCGUCAACAUUGCUCCAGUCGUUUCUACGAACUGGCGGCGCCUGGCGAACCUAGCAGAUUCCUGCGGGUCCUCCUCCUCAAUCCAGCACCACCGGCCCUGCCACUCCUCCCACCUCUCCUUCUGAGCGCCCUCCGGGUAUGUCUUGGACCUUGGGAUCCAGGCGACACAAUCGGAAAUGGCACCCCCCCCCUUUUGGAUCCGAGGGAAGAAGUAGUGGCGGAAGAGCGCCGUGUUGGGAUGCACCCCGGCGAAGCCCUCGCAGAGAUGCGCAAAAAGAGCCAUGCACGCCACGGCGUUUGGAGUAAAAUCCAGAAGGUGGAAGCCGUAGGUAUGCAUGACAUCGUUGAAGAAAUCAGAGAAGGGGGGNNNNNNNNNNNNNNNNNNNNNNNNNNNNNNNNNNNNNNNNNNNNNNNNNNNNNNNNNNNNNNNNNNNNNNNNNNNNNNNNNNNNNNNNNNNNNNNNNNNNNNNNNNNNNNNNNNNNNNNNNNNNNNNNNNNNNNNNNNNNNNNNNNNNNNNNNNNNNNNNNNNNNNNNNNNNNNNNNNNNNNNNNNNNNNNNNNNNNNNNNNNNNNNNNNNNNNNNGUAGCCCCACAGGUGCUUGAAGUAGUCCCGAAGAUGGACCGCAUCGACCGUCGUGGGGAAGUAGGCGGACUGCGUCCGCUGUACCGCCAACUCGCUCUCCGGCGGCUCCUCUGCCCCGGCGUCCUUGGCCACUCCCUUGCCUUUACUGGUUUUGGGUGCCAUGGCGGCUGCGAGAGGUGAAGGGGGAAGGGCGACGAAGACGCAGCGGCGGCGAGCAAAGGCAAGAGCUUGAGAGGGAGGAAGAAGGAGACGGUGGUUCCGGGGUUGGAGAAAGCACAGAGGGUAAAUGAGCAGCGCGCCUGCGGUUAUUCCUUUUUAUGGGGAAGGCGUGGGCCGCCUCUUUACCAUUUACUAUGAUGUGACGCAUGCGUGCGGGAACCACCCCACGCAUGACCCCCACGUCACGCACGACCCUCCAUGUCGCGCGUUCAAUGCGGGUCAUGGGGAAGCGCAAGCGAGCGAAGAAGUUAUCGCGAUUAAAAUCCGCCACGCCUGCCCGCGCACCGUUCUGGGCCUGGCCCAACAACGUGCUGCGCUUAUGUGUGGCUCAGGCCCAGGGGCUCCUGUCGAUGUACAAAAGUAGGGGCACCCCUUUUUUUACCCCUUUACUUGUGCACGGACAGUCAGAGCCGCGCCCACGGCCACACUGAGCAGGGCAGAGGAGGGAAGCCGAAGGCACAAGGCGACCAGAGGCAACGCCAAGACCAGAGAACACAAAAGAGCAAGAGGGCAAGGUGGACUCCCUCGGCAAGAACCUUGCCGGGGGAGCCUCCGCGGCCACGGCAAGAGCCUUGCCGGGGCAACUUUCCUGAUGCCAGCAGAGCAGGCCACCCUUGAGCCCACGGGUUCCAACACCACCAACCAACUACAUUGGAACCAAGGCUCGGGAGGCACCUCUGUGGUGGCAUGCAGAUCUUCGUCAAGAUCAUAAACACACAAGAUCAGAUGAGGAUCAGAAGACGACGAUCCUCGGCGGGAUCCUAGCCGAGGAAAUCCACGAGACCCCCGGCAAGACCCUUGCCGAGGACGACCACGGUGCCGCGGCAAGACCCUUGCCGGGGCCCCGGCAAGGCCCUUGCCAAAGACACUUACGGGGCCGCGGCCAGGCCCGCGUCUGCCAAGGCUCCACCGCCAUCCCCAUGCAGCUGCCAGCUCAACCAGCUGAGCAGGCACCUGCGUGGCGACGAGCGGCCUCCACGACCGACUCAGCAAGCACCUGCAUGGUGGCAUGCAGGUCUUCGUGAAGGCUCCACCACCGCGCCAGCCCAGCAGCCAGCCAACGUGGCGCUACAACGCCUCGUCAGCUCGGACGCGCGUCGCAGCCAGGCGAGGCGGCGACAGCUGGGACGUGCUUCCUUGCCGUCCCCAAUAAAGCGAGAGGGACACGUCGGCAGCGCAUUAAAUGCGUUUGUCCGACGGUGCCAGAGGAUAGGAUCAUCCACUGUACACCUUUCCACCUCCUGUGUGCCACUGUGGCAACCCCUUUUUGCCUAUAAAAGGAGGCCCGAGGCGACUAGGAGAAGGAUUCAGAUCUUUUGGCCAAGUUGCACCCCGUAGCUAGCUCAAGAACACAAGAACACUCAAAUACAUCCACCAAAGCAGGAUUAGGGUAUUAUGCAUCUUCGCGGCCUGAACCUGGGUAAACGAUCCGUGUGCUUCCUGUCAGACCCGCUCUUUGCACAACCUCGCGCCCGCCAACCGUAGAAGGGAUCCCAGUGAUUCCAUAGGUGUUGUUUCCAUCGACAGAGGACGUGAGAAAUAAAAAUUCAUUUCUUCAUGAUUAGCUUGCGUCCUUUCAAGCAUAUUUAGGUCUCCAGCAAAUUCUUCAGACGUUUAAGUUCAUCUAGAGACCUGCCCCUGCAUAAGAGAUUAGUUCCUUUUCUUCACCACCCACAUCUGAAGGGGUGGCAAAGAGUUCGUCAUUCUGCGAGCUCCAUUAGAGAAAGGUGGCAUUGAAGCCAAUCGACUUCUUUUGACAUAAGAGGGGUUAGAGUAAGCAUAUGAAUAAGCAGAGAAAUUCUUUGAGGAUUUGUGAACAUAAUGAUUUGAAGAAUAAUGCACUAUUCAUAGCCCUUUGACUUUCCUGCGAAACAGAAGUGUUAGCACGAUGAUGUUCAUAUGAGGACUUUGAUACUUUUGAGGAAUUUGAUCCAUGUGAGGAAUGUGGUCCAUAUGAGGACUUGGAUCCAUAUGAAGAAUUUGGUCCAUAUGAAGAAUUAGAUCUGGGGUUCCUGUUCUUCACAGGUGGUGUCAUGAUGACAUUCACCUGAAGACUUUCAAGGCACUUUUUGGGAACCCAGAUUUUCUUCAUAGGGGGGCCGUUCCUGCGGUUAGUGCCAACAUAUCUAGCAAAUACUUCACCAUUCUGAUUUGUCAACAGUUUAUAAUUGGAGUCAAAUGACUCAUCAUAAGAAUAUGAAGAUUCACAUGUAAAGCCAGAUAAGGUAGAUGCAUCCACUGAAGGUCCCUCUGCAGCAACCCAUGAGGUUUUGGGAUACUGCUCAGGUUUCCAGUAGGUCCCAUCAGCAUUGAGUUUCCUCUCAAAGGCAAUACCCUCUUUCCUAGGGUUCCUGUUGAGGAUCUGCUUUUUAAGCACAUCACAAAGUGUCGAUGCCCUUUGAGGCUUUUGUACAUGCUUGUCACAUACAAUUCCUUCAGCCAUGCAUGGUUAGUGAUACUAGCAACAUCCUCGGAUGAGGAAUUAGUGAUAGCAGAGGCAGUUGAAGAAUUGCAACAAUAGAAGCAUUUGAACUUUCAGGUGAAGAAUUAGCAGAUUCACGUUCAAUGCACUUCAAAAAUGGAGGAAUAAAUUCUUCCUGAGCAGCGCUGAUUUCUUGAGCAAGUAAUGAAUCACGCUCCUUCUGAAGAUCUUCAUAACUCACUCUUAGCUACUCAAGAUCUUGCUUUCUUUGAAGAAAUUCAUAAGAAAGCUUAUCAUGAUCAGAUAAGAGAGUGUUAUGAUGACUCUGAAGGCUGUCAAACUUAGUCUGAAGUCUCUAAAGAUUUUCAGUCAAAGUUUUAGUGCGAUCCGUUUCUUCACCCAAUAUAUCAUCGCUUUUGUCUAGCAUAUUUUGAACCCUUUCAAGAUCCUUUUGUUAUUUCACAACAAUCUUAGCAAGUUUAGAAUAGCUAGGCUUGAGGUUUUCAUCAGAUUCAUCCUCACUUGAUUCAGAGGAGGGACAUUUGAGUACCUUUGCACCUUUUGCCAUGAAGCAAUAGGUGGGAGCGUAGUCAUCAUCGCCAUCGUCAGCAGUGUUGGGAAGGUCAUUUUCCUCAGAGUUGAAGAUGGGCUUGCUGACGAACGCAGUAGCGAGGGCUAGGCUCGUCACACCAGAGUCUGACUCCUCAAAUGCCUCCUCUUCCUCAUUUUCCUCAGAUUCAGCCUCAGAGUCCAUUUCCUUGCCAAUGAAUGCAUGAGCCUUCUUGGAGCUGCUCUUCUUGUAAAAUAAAGACCUUGAGGAUUUUGAUGAAGAGGACUUUGAAGAUUUCUUCUUCUUAUUUGAAUCAUCAGAACUGUAGUCCUUGUACUUCUUCUUCUUUUAUUUCUUCUCUCACUGAGGACAAUCUUGAAUGUAGUGACCGGGUUUCUUGCAUUUGUGGCAAAGUCUCUUCUUGUAAUCACGGGAUGAGGAAUUUGAUCUUAAGUCAUCACUUCUUGAGGAUUUUCCAAAGCGACCACGUCUUGAGAACUUCUGGAAUUUCCUCACAAGCAUUGCUAGAUCCUGGCUCAGUUCUUCAGGAUCACCAAGGCUGCUACUAGAAUCCUCACCUUCAGAUUCAGACAAAGCCUUGGCCUUCAGAGCUCGUGAUCUGCCAUAGCUUGGUCCAUAGAGAUCUCUCUUCUUAGCAAGCUGGAACUCAUGAGUGUUUAGCCUUUUGAGGAUAUCAGCGGGAUCAAGUGACUUGUAGUCUCCACGUUCUUGUAUCAUCAGUGCAAGGGUGUCAAAUGAGGAAUCAAGCAAUCAAAGCAAUUUCUUCACCACCUCGUGGUCGGUGAUGUCAGUGGCACCAAGUGCUUGAAGCUCAUUUGAAAUGUCAGUGAGGCGAUCGAAGGUUUGCUGAACAUUUUCAUUGUCGAGUCUUUUGAAGCGGUUGAAGAGAUUGCGAAGAACGUCAACUCGGGAGUCACGCUGUGUUGAGACUCCUUCAUUGACCUUGGACAGCCUAUCCCAGAUAAGCUUUGUUGUCUCCAAAGCACUCACUCUGCCAUACUGUCCUUUGCUUAGAUGGCCACAUAAGAUGUUCUUCACUUGAGAAUCGAGUUGCUUGAAUCUCUUCACAGCAGCAGCGUUCAUGGUAGGAGUGACAGAGGGAACGCCAUUUUCCACAGCGUACCAGAGAUCAUUAUCAAUUGCCUCAAGAUGCAUUCGCAUCUUAUUCUUCCAGUAAGUGUAGUCCGUCCCAUCGAAGGUAGGACACCCAGCAGAGACCUUGAUCAUACCUGCGGUCGACAUAACUAAAACUUCAGGUGGUUAAACCAAAAUCACACAGAACAAGGGAGUACCUUGCUCUGAUACCAAUUGAAGGUGCGUUAAGUCGACUAGAGGGGGGUGAAUAGGCGAUUUUUAUGAAUUCUACACUGAGGAAUUUUAGGGUGAGGAAAUUCCUAAGCAAAGAACUACUUGCAGCGGAAUAAGUACUCAGGUGCAACCAUAACAGAGUAGUAGCACAGUCAUCAUGAAGAAAUGAAACCAAGCACAUAGUACAAAAAGCAUAAACACAGGAUAUGCAGGCUGAAGACAAACUGACUGAAGAAAUUUAACUGAGGAAAUUGAGAAAGUCUUCAGUCAAAGUCUUCAAACAGUAGCGAUCAAGUAUACACCACAGUAAUGAGGAAAUGGAAGGGUUGAGGAAAUAGAACUAGUUCGCUCGAUGAAGACAAUGAUUUGGUAGACCAGUUCCAACUGUUGUGACAGUCGUACGUCUGGUUGGAGCGGCUAGGUAUUUAAACCUGAGGACACACAGUCCUCACCGUAUUCUCCUUGAAAUAAGGUCACACAGACCUCGUCCAAUCACUCGUGGUAAGUCUUCAGGUGACUUCCAAACCUUCACAGACUUGGUCACUCAGCGAUCCACAAUUUCCUCUUGGAUACUCUAGACCAUGACGCCUAACCGUCUGGAGGAUGCAUAGUCCUCAAAGGUAACAAGCGUUGGUUCCACACAGGAACAAUCUCUUCAGUGAUGCUCAAUCACUUUGGGUUUGUAGGUGUUUGGUUUGGGUGUUUGGGUUUUUCCUCACUUGAUGAUUUUAGCUCAAAGUCCUCGGAGGAUGGGAUGCUUUCAAUGACAAGUGUCAGUUUCUCGUGGAGCAGCCAACCAGCUAGUGGUUGUAGGGGGGCGGCUAUUUAUAGCCUAGGGAGCAGCCCGACAUGAUAAGACAUAAUGCCCUUCAAUGAUAUGACCGUUAGGUGGGUAGAUAUUUUGGGACAGCUGGUGCGUAGCACAGCAAUGGUCGGAAAUUUGGCUAUCAAAUUCCUCAGGGCUAUCAUGUUCCUCACUUGUAGGCAAUCCGCACUGGCGAAUUCCUUACUCAGUCAGAACAAAUUCCUCAGAGAAUAGAAGAACUUCGUCUCUAUCACUGAAGAAAUUGACUGAACUGUAUGAGAUUUCCAAUUGCUUCACUCGAAGGGAUUGGUAGGUGUCGGAUUUUGAGAUGAGCAUCACUUGGAAACUUUUCCUUCAUUUUUCCUCGACCCCCUUUAACAGUACGGUGUUUCCUAUGACUCAAGAAAGAGAAAAUCAAACUACGAAAACAAAAGUCUUCACUCUUCAUGUUCCUCGCAUGAAUAUCAAGUCUUCACGGUCACACCAAUUUCUUCACUUUCAAACUCUUCAGAAAGUCUUCAGAAAUCCAAAGUCUUCAGUUGAAGACAUUCAUUUUUAGGGGUCAACUUUCUUUGUAAAUAUCAAAAUCCUCAUAGACUUAUAGACCUGUGUACACUCACAAAUGCAUCAGUCCCUUAACCUAUAAGUCUUCAAUACACCAAAAUCACUAAGGGGCACUAGAUGCACUUACACUCAUCCGCCUGGUCAGUCCAGUCGAACACCAUCGUCUUCUUCAUUAGCUGAUAAAGGGGCAGGGCCCUCUCCCCCAGUCGACUGACGAACCGGCUAAGAGAGGCCAAGCAGCCGGUGAACUUUUGGACAUCGCACAACUGAGCAGGCUUGCGCAUGCACUCGGUCGCCUUGAUCUUCUUCGGGUUGGCCUCGAUGCUGCGCUCCAAGACGAGGAAACCAAGGAGUUGGCCAGCUAGCACGCCGAAGAUGCACUUCCCUAGGUUGAGCUUGAUCUGGAACCGAUGCAGGUUGGCCAUCAUCUCCUUGAGGUCGGCUAGGAGGGUAAGGUGCUGCUUAGUCUUCACCAUGCCAUAGCAAAAACCGGUACUGCCUGUGCGACGGAUUUGAUGAGCACUUCUUUUCCUCCCGAGGAUAAAAUCUUUUCCAUCCACCCUUUCACCUUGUUCCAAACUCUUUCCUUAAGGUAUCUGAAUGCCCCAUUUUUGCUGCUUCCAACAUCUGUAGGCAUACCCAAAUAUUUUUCAGACAAACUUCCAUUAUGAACAUUAAGGAUAUUUUUCAUACUAUCUUUCACUUCCUGCAUGCAUCCCUUACUGAAGAAAAUCGAGCACUUCGGUAAAUUGAUUUUCUGCCUAGAUGCAUGGCAAUAGGUUUCCAACAAUGAAGAUACCAGAGUAGCACCCCCACUACUAGCCUCGGACAGCGGUCUGUCAUCGGCGAAAAGUAAAUGGCUUACUGGCGGAGCCGUUUCUGCCACUUUGAUUCCGUUGAUUGGCGAUGACUCAUUCUAACUUUUAAGGAGGCACGAAGGCCCUCUACUUCCAACAAGAAUAGGUAAGGUGAUAUCGGAUCCCCCUGCUGAAUUCCCCUUGUAGGUGUGAAUUGCUCCAGUUUCUUGCCAUUAAACAAAACUGAGAACUUAACUGAGCUCACCAUCCUCAUUAUUGUAUUAACCCAAACUGGUUCAAAACCCAAUUUCGUCAUUAUAGCACGCAAAUAUUACCACUCCAGGCGAUCAUAAGCCUUCAUCAUAUCGAGUUUCAAAGCACAGAAACCAUUCUUCUUUGACUUAUCGUGUUUCAUAAAAUGGAGGCACUCGUAGGCCGAGAUGAUGUUAUCAGUAAUGAGCCUCCCCCCAACAAAGGUCGACUGCUCCUCGGAUAUGAUCUCCGGAAGGAAGAUUUUUAAUCUAUGUGCCAAAACCUUAGAAGCAAUCUUGUAGAGCACAUUACAAAGGCUUAUAGGGCGGAACUGUGUCAGAAGAGUUGGGUUCGGUACCUUAGGGAUAAGGACCAGAAUUGUAUCAUUCAACUCAUCCACUUCUUCUUCACCUCUUAGGAUUUUUAAGAUAAUCAAAGUAAUCUCGUCUCCGCACAUGUCCCAGUGCCUUUGAAAGAAGUGUGCGGGGUAACCAUCUGACCCUGGCGCCUUAGUAGGAGCCAUUUGAAAGAGUGUUGUCUUCACUUCCUCCUUAGUAUAUGCCGAAGUCAGCUUUUGAUUCAUCUCAUCGGUCACCCUACAAGGAACAACAUCGAUAACCCUGUCCAUGUUUGAUGUACCCUCUGAAGUGGAAAGGCCACGACAAAACGCCGUAACCAUACUCUCCAUCUCAUCUGCGUCCGCUGUUGUGGUGCCAUCUUCCCUUAGAAGGGUUUUUAUAUUGUUCUUCAGACGCCGUCUGCUGGCGCGCAAGUGAAAAAAAUUGGUGUUUUUGUCUCCUGUCGCCAGCCAGGUUAUGCGUGCCCUCUGUCGCCACAUCACUUCUUCCCUAUGAUACAACUCGGCCAGAUAAUCCUUGAUUUUUACUUCUAUUCGAGUCGGUUCUGUCCCGCUAGGAUCCGCCUGAAGCCCUUCCAGCUCCAAGUUCAGCCGCUUAAUCUCGGUCUUGACAUUACCAAAUAUGGAUUUGUUCCAUCGUGUAAGGCCCUUUGAAAGAGCAUUAAUUUUCGCACACAGACCUGCAACAAUAGUUGCGCCAGGUCCUUGCCAGUGUUGUUGUAUUUCCUCCUGAAAGCCAUCAUGGGACUCCCACAUGAGCUCAUAUCUGAAUGGUUUAUGAUGGCCCCAUGGGACUCCCACAGCUGAGUUUCUACUAUGCAAAACACCGUCGAAGCAAAUUGCCUCGCGAAGCCACGAAGCUCUCGAACUAUCUUGGGUUUGCCCGCCCCGUGACAGUUCCAACAGAAGAUACUCAUUGAGCCCGGCGGCGCUCCUCGUGGGAGCCUGCCAACUCGCUCUGUGAGUUCGUCGUUUUCUUGGUGACGUCCCCUUCUUUGGUUUCUUCCUCUCACGAGGUGUGAGGUAUGCAGGGGGUGGAGGCGAACCGAGCCCGUAUUCCCAUGCUUUUUUUUGAAUGUUGGUAGGAUCUACCAAAUUCAUUGAUCAGAUGGGAAGGACAAAGGGUGGACUAUAGAGAGUAGCAUCAAAACGAAAGCAAAGAAUACAAACGAGAGGAGAGCAGAAGAUCAAAAAACAAAAACGACAGCCCCACGCCGCCUAGCAACCUAGCCUGGAUCAAAAGGAAUACCAGCUCCCGUGAGGUUCCAGAGUGUGAUUUCCUCUCUUAAUCGCCUGACAAAACCGUCUAAGCUCAGAGCUUCCUGCUGGAACGUCCUCCUAUUACUUUCUUUCCACAAUUCCCAGGGAACAAGGUGUAACAAGGACAAAGUUCCUUUCUUCUUCUCCGUUGCCGCUCGGUUGUGACAGUCAACCAUCCAUCCCAAGAUGCUUGUUUGGUUGCUCCAUGACUGCGGCUUGAGCGCGGGCAUGCUAGUUAGGUGGGCGAUCCUUCCCCAAGCUUGCUUGGACCGUGGGCAUUCCCAGAACAAGUGCGUCGUGGUUUCCAGGUUUCUUUCACAUAGUGCACAAAAAUAGUUGUUCUCCCAUCCACGCCGCAGCAGAACAUCCGCAGUGAGGAUCCUCCCAAGUGUCGCAGUCCAGGCGAAGAAACGACAUUUCUCUGGCGCCCACACUCUCCAAAUUAGAUUGUAGUUCUCCGUGGGGAUCGAUCCCUCGAACUGCAGGAGGUAGGCAGAUCUCGCUGUGUAAUCUAACGAUUCUGUGAAACGCCAGCAGAUAGCAUCGUCCUGGCCCUCGUGAAGCUGCACCUCAUCUAAUAAUGUUGCUAGCCGCAUCAGUUCCGGUAGCAUCUGAUCAUUUAGCCCUUUAGCUAGGUCUGUUAACCAAGUUUCCUCGAGCAGUGCCUCAUGGACUGUUCUGUUCUUCCUUGCAGCGAUCUUGAAGAGGGUAGGCACAAAGGUUUUUGGGCAUUGUCCAUGAAGCCAGCGAUCGUGCCAAAACAUGGCCCGUCGACCAUCCCCCACUGUAACCUCGGUUGCCAUUGCAAAUAGCAUGUGGUCCUUGUCGUCGCACGGCAGCUGAAAGUUCACCCAAGGUCGUGUCGGAUAGCGCCAUGCAGACCAUAACCAUCGCAGUCUCAGCGCUGACCCAAAGCGCGGCAGGUCCAGCACACCUAAACCCCCGAAUUUUUUGGGGCGGCAGAUGAGACUCCAAGCCACCCUACAUUUGCCACCGGAGCAUUCUUCCUCGCCAGUCCAAAGCCAUGCACGGCAGAUCUGCAGCAAACGUUUCCAUACCCAGGCUGGCAAUUUAUGCAUCGUCAUCAUAUAGAUGGCCAGGGCAGUCAAACCCGAUUUUAGAAGCACCAACCGGCCACUCUUUGCUAUUAGUCUGCCCUUCCACAUCGCGGUCUUACUGCCGAAUUUCAGGAGCCAAGGGUCAAGAUCGACUUUGGUUAGAUUCCGCAGUGACAAGGGCAUUCCGAGGUAUGUGAUAGCGGAAUUUUUGAUCGGGAUUCCAAGGUGGGCCAAGACUCGAUCCAGCUUGAUCCCUCCGCAUUGAACAGGCAGGGCUGUGCUUUUGAUCUUGUUUGUGUGCAGCUCGGUGGCUACCGCAAAGCAUUGUAGAAGCAGGUUAAUCAUUGACGCUUCGCUCUCCGUCGGGUUCAUGUUUUUUUAAAAAGGAGUAUGACCCCCGGCCUCUGCAUCUGGGAGAUGCAUGCGGCCACUUUAUUGAUUAUUCUCGAGGACCUUACAAAGUAUUACAACAAUAUGCCUGAAUCCGCCAUCUUGGCAACAUAUGCCACUACUCCUAUCCAAAUGAUGAAGGCGUGCUAGCUGGGCCACUACCCAGACCACUCAUCUAAGCCUAACAUCAAAAUGAUGAAGGGGUGCUAGCUGGGCCACUACCCAGACCACUCACCUAAGCCUAACAUCAAAAGCCGGAAGCCCCAACCGAGCCACAUACCGGGUCUGGGGUACAAACCGGUCCGACGCACUCGUGUGUCGUCGCCGCCAUCUUUCACAGGUCCGUCUUCAGAGCAAAUAUUGAGGUUUCUACCUUGUCUGGCCACUCAGCCAUCGACGUCACCACGACACCAAACAGCUUCGUCCUCCUGCGCGAGUCCAUCGCCACAGACGCCAAAUCUCCACCGCGCCACGCCGCCGAGAUACGCCGCCAUCAAUGAGUAGGAUGAAGCACCGCUCCGCCGAGUCCGGCAGGGCUGCUGAAGACCAAGCACCGUGGAAGAAGGACUCCGAGGCUGAGCACAUAGGCGGCAGAGCGCCAACGCACCGCCACCAGACGAACUCCGACCACGCCACCAACCGCCGCCAAGCAACCAAAGCAUCACAUCCACCCCAAGAUCACCACGAACGACACCCCCAAGAGGGUGACGACGCCCGGAGCGCCGCUGUCGCUCGAUCCGGCAAGGAUUUGGGCUUUCGCCCGGCAUACGAGCUGGGUGGAAGGAAGAGGGGGAGGAGGCAACCUGGAUGGCGCCUACAAGAAGGGUACGGCGCCCUCGGGCGUCGCCGCCAUUGUGGCCAGCACUGCUGGCCUCGGAUUUCUCCGGAGCCACCUCCCACCUCCAGCCGCCAAACGGGUACAACUCCGGCGACAAAGGCCACCCAAAGCAGGACCAUCGGAGGCAGCCCUGGUUGAAGUAGACGGAGGUUCAUGAAUAGUGCUACAUCAUCAGCAUAGAAGGAGCAGUGCAUCAAGCGCCUUCGCCCCGGCAGCUUGGAUAGCAUGCCGCGCUCCGUUGCGACGGACAUGAGUCUUUGCAGUGGGUCCAUUGCUAGGAUGAAAAGGAAAGGGGAUAUCGGAUCUCCUUGCCGCAAGCCAUUUCGGUGAGUCACAAUCUCUGACUGUUGUCCAUUGAUUAGCACUCUAGAGGUCGAUGUCCUCAGAAUCAUGGCGAUCGAUUCACACCAUCGAGAGCCAAACCCCCUGGCCUACAUCAUCUCCAGCAGGUACGCCCAGGAUAACGAGUCGAACGCCUUGGCAAUGUCGAGUUUUAGGAGGAUUGACGGCUUCUUGGUCUUGUGCAGAAAACGAAUGGUGCUUUGGACAUAUAGGAAGUUUUCCUGUAUACUAUGCUUUUUGAUGAAGGCGCUUUGGCAUUGAUCCACUAAUUCUUCUAGUUUAGGAGCUAGCCGGCGGGCGAGGAUCUUAGAGAAGAUUUUAAUCACACUAUGCAGCAAAGAAAUCGGGCGGAAGUCCUGGAGUGUGUCUGCCCCCUGUCUCUUGGGAAUCAGGACGAUAAUGGCCUUGUUGAUCCUGUCCAGCCCUCUGUUAUCCAUGCGGUGCAGCUUAUUCAUAGCAUGCAGCAGAUCUUCCUUAAUCGUCCCCCAACAGUGCUUGAAGAACCCUCCUGAGAAGCCAUCAGGGCCUGGAGCUUUGUCCACCGGCAUGUCGUCAAUUGCUUGCUUGAUUUCCUCCAAAGAGAAAUCUCUCUCGAGGUCCAACAAGUCCGUGUGUUCCAGCUCCAGUUCGUCCCAAUUCAGAGCUCUUGUUCUCGGUUGCCCCUCACCCAAGAUACUCUGAAAGUGAUGAUGUGCAGCCGAAGCCAUCUCAUCUGCCGCAGUGACCGUGCCCGACGGCCCCUGGAGCAUAUGGAUAGUAUUUCUCUUGUGACGUUCAUUGGCCUUGCGCUGGAAAAACUUCGCGUUGGCAUCACCCGCUUUUAGCCAAAGUACCCGGCUACGUUGCCUAAGCUUGACCUUCAAGAGAACGGCAAGCCCCAGAGAUCGGGACUUAAGCUUGGCUCUUAGAUCACUCUCAUCAUUAGUAAGCUGCCGGAAAUCUUGCUGUGUGUCUAACUGGAGUAUCGGCUCGUUUGCAAUCCCUAGCUGCCUCUGAAUAUCCCCAACAAGAGUUUUGCUCCAAGCUCUUGAAGCCUUGCUCAAUCUAUGCAGCUUUGUGUUAAGCCUAGAGAUUGGGCACAUGUUCCCUAUAGGGGCUGCCCAAGACUGAUUCACCACCUCGUGAAAACCCUCAAUAUGCUGCCAGUAUGCUUCAUAUCUGAACCUCUUGUUGGUCUUUGUAAUCAUAUCGUUGACGAGGAUUAGAGGACAAUGAUCGGAAAUGGAUGAAGAUUGCCACAGCAGCUUGGCCCCAGGGAAUAGGAGCUCCCAUUCGACAUUACAGACAGGGCCGGCCCAUAGGCCGGGCAAACGGGGCGCCCGCCCUGGGCCCCCGGGGCGCAGGGGCCCCGGCCCAGGUAUUCCUUCUCUAGUAAGUAGAAUGGGCCAAGGAAAGUACAAGGGAAAAAUAAAGGCCCAAGGAACCGUGCUAUGGAAAACCCACCAGGCAAAAGUCACGUCUGUUCGACGCACUGGACCAUGAUCAUUCUCGUCUCUUCAGCUCCGCGACUCCUUCGCUUCCCCAAAUCCCUACUCCCGAACAGCGCCGCCCCUCGCAUGCCUGAUGCCUCUUCGAUUACAAGGACACGGCCAUGAUGCCUAGGGCGCGAAUUCACUCCCCAAUGGUCCUCUCCUUCCUUUCUCAACGAUCUGGUCACUUCCCAUCAACUGGAGUUGGAGAGAUCAAGAUGGUAUGUGUUCUUGCUUCCCGUAACCUCGUUCCUCAAUUCAAAGAUUCACUGGUAAUUAACCCUGCCCUCCGGCACUUACGAUUCCACGUUGCACAUUGUUCUGCCCUUCAUUGGAUCCAGAUGUGAGAGAGCACUCAGGCAGAAGAUUAGAAGAGAAAGGGUAAAUUUUAUUCACUUCAUGGCGGCGGCGUCUUGUUCGUGCUAAUUCUGGCUGCCGCGGCCAGUGGAUCAAGCCACCUACAUCCACAUCAAUCCGUUUCCAGGUUCUUCUGUUCCUGUAUUAACAAUUUUUAUGCAGCUUGUUUGGUGACAUGUCUCCAAGAAAGUAUUUGUCUUGGUAGUGAUUAAAGGAAGGAAGAAAAAUGGAUAGAUGAACUGGUAGAAUCCCAGAAAGGAUCAAUCGCUUAGUUUUCCUUUUUAUGGCGGGUAAUGGCUAAGUUUUCCAAAAGUAGUAAUUCUUUGCACUUGACUGUAGUAAAUGUCGAAGAGCAAAAACUGACAAUAUUUAUGUUGCUGCUGCUGAUGAUACCAACGAGGGUAAUAAUAGUUGUAGUAAACAAAAAACCUAGCUCACUCACCAAACUCAGAAAUACCGUGUGUCGAUGAACAACAAUCAUUCUUUGUUUGUUUUGUUUUGCAGAAAAAAAUCCCCAUUGUAACCAUUAGAAAAUCGAGCUGUUCUGGAGCUAUAUUGUUCCAUCAAUCUACACUAUGUACUGGAUAUUUACUUUGCUUCUAAUUUUUAAAAUAAAUAAAAAUUGAGCUUUUGUGUGUCAAGAAGGCCCCAUGUUCUUUUCUUGCCCCUGGGCCCCGUUUAUCUGUGGACCGGCCCUGAUUACAAAAUGCCCGAUCAAGCCGUAUUCCCAUGCUCAGCGACUUGUUCUGGCAUAUAACCUGUGCAUGCACGUCCCCCUGUUUCUCUUCCAUGUCCGUAGCAGGUGCGUCAUCAGGGAGAUCAAGCAUUUUCCUUGCUGAUGGUUCUGAUUGUCCCGGCUGCUGCGGCUGGUCAUCUUUCUUCUCCACUGGGUCAGCUUUCAAGGGGCUUUCAACAGUAUCAUGCAGGUCUUCCUCCUGCAGUCCCGCCUCUUGUGAAGAGCGCUUUCUUGCACCAUUGGUGCCUCCGCGUCUUCCACCCCUAGCUUUGUUCCACCUCUGGUCCAAGUGGAGUUGUUGUUGCUAUUCUGGCCUAACUGAUUAGACGGGAAGCUCCUCCUUGUGGCCACCAUCCAUUCCCCGUAUUCAAUUUCUUCAGGACCAUGGAUGCCAUUGCCGCACUCCUCUAGAAUAUGUCCCAUAAUACCGCAGACCUCACAGAAGUAUGCGAUUUUCUCGUAUUUAACUGGAAGAAGUAACCUUUCUUCUCCUUUUAUGUUCAGAGGAGUAAAACGAACCAGAGGUUCAGCAACCUUGAUCUUUGCGCGCGCGCGCGCACACAGUUGCCCUCAAACACACUAGAAGGAUUCAUCUCAACACUCUUAACCUGACCGAUUCUCCGGGCUAGCUGAUCCAGGAUAGGCUCCUUACGAUAAAGCUCUGUGGUGUCAUGGAUCUGUGCCCACACGUGCACACGAUCAAGCUCGACCGCAUUCGGUUUACCUCUUCCAUCAUAUUCCUCGAUGAUCACCAUGAGACCUCUGAAGAUCCAAGGACCUUGGUGCAUAACUCUAUUCCAGUCACCAACACAAAACAUCUGAAUGACGAAGAGGUUGUCAUCGGCCUUGCGGAUCUCAGGAUCAUAAGCCAGACGCCAAAUGAACUUCAUCAUGGCCUUGAAAGAUUCCGCACUAAAGGGUUUCUUAGUGUUAACCUUAGCAACCGCAAGCCAGCGGGCCUCUUUAGCAAAUUGGGAGAUUUACUCAUCCCCGACGAUCACAUCGUCUAGUUCAGAUUCCUUGAGCUUCAUAUUCUUCAUCGCUGUCUCCAAAUUGACUGCGGUUUUUCCCUUCCUUCUGGCCCCUAACAAUCCUCCAGGGACUCCGAAGGAUGAGGAUGUCGCCAUUAUUGUCGAUCCAAAACCCUAACCCCCGCACGCCGUUCCCGACGGAGGGGGAGACCAGGUCAGGGGAUGGGAGGAGUACAGGAAGACCUCAACGGCAGGCGGGGCCACUCGCAAGCGUUUGUUUUUUACUUGCCGCAAACUUACACUGCACAUUCUGGAUUAGAAGAUCUGGGCCGGCGUAACACUAUAUCCCAUGACGGCCACACAUGGUCAAUUGGAUUUCACGCACCUAAAAAAAUCCCCUCAAAAAACCUCAAAAAAAAAGCAAGCAGAGCUGUUUCUCUCAAAAAAAGCAGAAAUGUUGGGGAGCUUCAGCGAGUUCUGAAUUACUAUUUCCAUAGUUAAAUACUGCAAUGUACAUCUCAAGCGGUUAGUAGUACAUAAUACAACAUGCCCCCUCUUGGUACGGGUCAGCCCCUUGCAUUCUCACAAUGUCAUCACAGGGCUUAGUAGUGAAAUAACUUAACGGCCAUUCAAAUUUACUAACCAAACAUAACAAUAUGCAAAAGACUUCAACAUCUAAAGCCAGGAGCACAAACGUAUUUUGAACUAGUAUAUUGUCCAUAUGGCAGCUUGAAUUGCACCUGCAUCUCAACCCUCCAAGUGCCGCCCAGACAGAAUCAGGUUUUGUGGAGUUGGUUGCAGUAAUUCCGCCAUCUACCAAGACAUUUCUGCAAGCAAACA
rnacentral:lncRNA from 1 species